UUUUUCUAGGUAUAGCAAGCUUACCUUCCUCCUUGUGUGAAGGUCCUUAUAUAUAGUGUCAGAAGCUCUGUCUCCCUCUUUAAUGAUGGGAAGACUUUUUGGCUCGUCAUGAUGCCUUUAGGUGGUGGCAGAGUCAUCAUCACUCUAUAGAUGACUAUCAGAGAUCGUGGGAGGCGACUUGCCAUCAUUCCUGUCCUUUCGCUCUGCAGGCAGCGGAACGUGGGCUGUGGCAAGCUGUCAGAAUGAUGUAGCAAGACUUGCUCACUUCGGUCAAUGAUCCGGAUAGGAUAUGUUAUCGUCCGGGUGUGACAUUCGCGAGUGACGUGUGCUUCUUCUUGAGGGAGUCCGGAUAGAGGAGCGCGCCAUGUGUCCCUCUUUGGGGAGUUUGGAUAGAGUUGCUCCGGAUAGCAAAGCGCGCUACGUGUUUAUCAGGGGGAGGGGUCCCUACAGUGUUGUACACAUGUAAGCAAGUUUGUUAGUGGGUAGAAACGUGGUAUAAAUAUUGAGGUUUGCACCGUAAAGAAAAGAACAGAGGAUUUAAUAAGAACUUCUUCCAGAUUUCUCCUGGGUCUUUUUCUCUUUAUUCUCUCAGUUCUAAUAAGCAUCAAUGGAGCCAACAACUGUAGAGUCUUUCCCUUCUGAGACUCAAACCAGGCUUCAUCCCAGUUUCGUACUCGACGAGGAGGAGCGUCCCAAGGUGGCAUACAACCAUUUCAGCGACGCCAUUCCCGUGAUAUCUCUCGCCGGUAUCGAUGAAGCCGAUGGCCGUAGGUUGGACAUUUGCCAGAAAAUUGUGGAGGCGUGUGAGGAGUGGGGGAUCUUCCAAGUGGUUGAUCAUGGCGUUGAUUCUCAUCUCAUUUCAGAGAUGUUUCGUCUCUUUGGAGAGUUCUUCGCUCUUCCUCCAGAUGAGAAACUUCGAUUUGACAUGUCAAGCAGCAAAAAAGGCGGUUUUCUUGUCUCUAGCCACCUUCGAGUAAUCUUCCAUCUAUCACAUUUUUCUUCUCCACAACUCAAUUGAAAAAUUAUGUCUUCUCUUUUCUCUGUAUCUUCAAUUUAAACAUGCUCGAAUUAACCAUUCAAUUACAGGGAGAAGCGGUGCACAAUUGGCGGGAGUUUUUAACUUACUUCUCAUACCCACUUCGGGAGAGGGACUACUCAAUGUGGCCGGAAAAGCCGGAGGGAUUGACGGCAGUGAUGAAGGAGUACAGCGAGAAGCUCAUGGGUUUGGCAUGCAAGUUGCUGGAGGUGAUGUCUGAGGCUAUGGGUUUGGAGAAGGAGGCCUUGUUUAAGGCCUGUGUGGACAUAGACCAGAAGGUGUUUGUAAUGACCGGGCAUUUUAUGCCACGUUAGCAAUUUUAGUUUGAAAAGUCUUAAUUUAUGUGAUGGUUGAAAAGUCAAAAAGAAAAGCGUUUGGAGAACACGUGUCAAUUUCGGAUUGGUGAAUUUCGUUUUAUUGCGUCGGUCAAUUAAACGAGUUGAAAUUUUAUGCCAUGUCAGCCUUAGGAUAGAAAAUUCUUAGGAUUUUAGAAAUUGGAAAUUUACGGGAACGAAAAACGAAAACGAAAAAUGAAAAAUAAAUCAAUUAAGAUUAAUUAGAAUUAAUUAAGAAAAAUUAAUUAAUUAAUUAAAUUAAAUUGAUGAAUAAUAAUAUUGAGAAAAUUAGUUUUUAUUUGGUGUUAAUAAAUAAAAUUGUGUGUUAAAAUGAAAAAAAAAUGAAUGAAAAAUGAAUUGGAAAUUAAAUAAAACAAUUAGAAUAAAGAAAAGAAAUAAUAACAAUAAUAAUGGAUUGGGCUUAGUUUUUGAGUUGGGCUUGGAGCAAGUGGGCUGGUGGUUUUUUUUUAAAAAAAAGCCAUGUGAAGUGGGCUGGGCUGUUAGUAAAAAAAAAAAAAAAAAAAGGAAAAGGGAGAGAACUGGCAGUAGCACGCACGCGGGAGAGAGAAACAGAAAAGGGCACUGUGCAAAUUAGGGCACUUGCCGGAAUUUUGAUCGGACGUUUGGACGGCCAAACGAUCUCCGUUUCGGCCCAAAUUCGGAGGAAGUACUCUAUUCGACUAGACGAACAAGCCUGCGGUGGCUGAUUUUGUUUUUAACGGUCAAAUUUUCAGAUCUGAGGUAGGGGACCCUAACCCUAAAACUUAAAUUUUUAUGUUUUUCCCUUGGAAAAAAAUUAUAGAUAUUGUCAUUUUGAGUUAAUUAGGAAUUAUAAGUGUUGUAUGAAUUUUUCUAGAAUAUUUGGGAUUUGUUUGGAAUUUUUGGAAUUUCGGGAAAUUGAUUUUGAUUGAUAAUUAAUUGUUUUGAAAGGUUAAAAAUUAUUAGAUGGGUUGGAAAAUUCCAAAAUUUGGGUUAAAUUUUAAAUAUAAUGAUUUGUGAAUUUUUAGGCAUUGGUUAGAAUAUUUUCGAAAAUUUUAGGGUAAAUAGUUAGUUAAUUUUGGAUAUUAGAAAUUAUUAUAAUGGUUGAAAACUUUUGUAAGUGUGGUAAAAUCUCAAGAUUGUUGAUAUGCAAUUUUUUUUAAUAUUUAUUUGGGAUAUUAUUGGAAAUUGUAAUGUGUGAAAUUGUUUGAUUGGAUUAUUGGGGAAUGUUGAGAUUGUUGAAUUAUUGAGGAACAUUGGAAUUGUGGCAUUCAUUGCAUCAUGGUUAUGUGAAAAAAAUAAAUAAAUAAAUAAAAUCAUGAAGAUUGUGAAAAGUGUAUGAAAUGGAAAAAAAAAUGAAAUAGAGAUGGGAAGUGGAAGCCCGUGUGAGGCGAAUUAAGAAGGGAGAGAGAUCCCUAGGGUGAAAGACCCAAAAGUUUACCCCGGGAAGACUCCGAAUGGGGAGUGUAUUUGGGUGCGGACGCGUAUCCUUCAGUGAAAGCCCGAGAACAAUAGUGCAUUGUAUGACUGUGUGUCACACGUUCAUGUGCAUUCAUGUAAUUGUUGAAUAUUGUGAAAUUGGGUAUAAAAUUAUAUAUAUUAAACUAUGUGGUUUGAUUGACACUGUUGAAUUGUUCCUUUGGUGUUGAAGUGUUCUUUUCGUAUUCUUUGAACUUAGUAAUCCCUUUAACCCCUUUGGUGUUAGGCACCCUACUGAGCAAUGUGGAAAUGCUCACCCCUUCCUUGUUACACCUUUUUAGAUGCAGAUAUCUCUCCUGAGGAUCCACAGGUGGGACAGGGAGGACUUCAGGAUGCUCCUGGAGCGGCCUAGUGGAGCGUGGCAUUUAUUUGUUAUUGUGUUCCUUUUUGGAUUUUGGGGAUUUGUUUUAGCAAUUAUGACUCAUGGAUUUGCUAUGAAGCUUUAUUUGAUUAAGUUGUUAAUUGUGAACCUUUAUUUUGGACUAUAAUGAAUAUUUAUUUAAUCUUGUUGUUUUGAGUAGUUUUGGGAUAUUGUAAUUUAUGAGAAUUCUAGUGAGAUGUAUAAAAAAAAAAAAAUCCAGAGUGUUUUGGUUGACUGCCAACAUGGAAUAGGAGGAACCCUUAGGGUCAAACCUUUGACCUGGGGUCACGGGUCAAAUUUUGGGUCGCCCGGAAUUUGGGUCGUGACAGCGUGGUAUCAGAGCCAAGGUUGCGAUAAUACCUUGGGGUCAAUGUUUGUGGGUGUUUAUGUGUGUUGUGAUGUUAUAACUUUUGUAUGUGUUAAUUAUCAAGUUGAUGAUUAAUUUAAUUAUGUAUUGAGAGCGUAUGAAAGUGAAAGUUUUGAUAAUUGUUGAAGUUGCUAAGUGUGUAUAUGUGAAAUUUAUUUUUGCUCACCUUAGUAAUGUGAUUGAAUUAGGGUUUGUUAAACUUGAAAUGGCGGGAAGGACCAGAGGAGGAAGAUCAGAGAGGAAUGAGGAGUUGGAGACAGUUAGAGAAGAACUCCGAGAAGUAAGAAGAGAGUUGAGAGAAACUGUUGAAUUGAUGAGAGGCCAAGGUUCCAGGAGAGCAGGAGGUACCCAGGGCCAUGAGGAUUCAGGCCACUCACAUAGGAGGAGCCGCACUGAGAGGCCAGUAAUGAGCCAAAUGGAAGCAAUGAAGAGGUUCAUGGUGAUGCAGCCUCCAUCUUUUAAUGGAGAGCCCAGUGCUGAAGCAGUUGAGCAUUGGUUGAGGAGGAUGAGAAGAAUUUUGGUGGGACUGGACAUACCUGAGGAAAAAAGGGUAGGUCUGGCAACAUAUAUGCUUGUGGACAAAGCUGAUUUCUGGUGGGAAUCAAUGAAAAGGGUGUAUGACACUGAGGUUAUGACCUGGGAGGAAUUUGAGAGAAUCUUCCUAGGCAAGUAUUUUGGGGAAGUGGCUAAGCAUGCCAAGAGGAUGGAGUUUGAGCACCUCAUCCAAGGAACCAUGUCAGUGCUGGAGUAUGAGUCACGUUUCUCAGAGUUGUCUCGUUUUGCUUUGGGGAUGAUCAGUGAGGAAGGAGAAAAGGCUAGGAGGUUCCAACAGGGGUUGAGGCCUGCUAUUAGGAACAGAUUAGUCCCACUGGCAAUAAGGGAUUAUUCUGAGUUGGUUAAGAGGGCUUUGUUGGUGGAACAGGACAUUGACAAAACCAACCAAAUUCGAGAGUAAAAGGGGGACAGAAAAGGGAAACAAAGAAUGGGGGAAAGUUCCCAGGGGCCACAGCAGAGGCAGAGGACUCAGCAGUUUGAGAGGCGUCCCUCGUUCUAUGCAGGAGAGGGGCAGAUUGCUCAGAGGGCGGCUGCUAAUAGAGUAUGUUAUGGUUGUGGAGCAGAAGACCAUUUAUGGAGGGCUUGCCCAUUGCGAGGCGCACAGCAGACUCGACCUCAGUCUCAGGGAAGUUCUCAGCAACAGUCAGUAGUGUCUUUCCAGCCCCCUCAGCUUCAGUUGCCUUACUAUCAGAUGCCACAAUUACCCCCAGCAGCGCAGGGAACCAGGACAACUACCACGAGUCAGACCCGCUCUUCUCAGGGGUCGAAUGCUAGAGGUAGGGGAAGGCAGGCAGCAGGAAGAGUUUUUGCCUUGACCCCAACAGAGCCAGAGGAGGAUGCCCUUUUGGUGGAAGGUAUGAUUUUGGUAUAUAGUACUUGGGUGCGUGUUUUGUUUGAUACUGGUGCAACUCAUUCUUUCAUUUCUGCAUCUUGUGCUAAUGCAUUGGGGUUGAAAUCGGAAAGGGUAGAGAAUUUGUUACUUAUUGAGUCUCCUAUGGGUACGAACUCUAGAGUUGAUAGAAUAUGCAAGGGGUGUGUUAUUACCUUGGCAGAUAGAGCACUAAAUGUGGAUUUGAGGAUUUUGGAUAUGACUGGGUAUGAUGUUAUUUUGGGAAUGGAUUGGUUGGCAGUGUAUAGAGCGGUUAUUGAUUGUCAUCGCCGCAGGAUAAUAUUUUGUUUGCCAGAGGGAUUUGAGGUUUGUUUUGUUGGAGGGAAGUGUGUUAGUUUGCCUUUUUCGCAGUCCGAUCCGUGCUAUCAGUAUGUGUUGAGGAAAGGAUCAAUAAAUUUCCUAGCUUGCCUUCGUGGUAAGGAGAAAGCCCAGAAGGACAUUACAGAAAUUCCAAUGGUGAGGAAGUUUCAGGAUGUAUUCCCAGAUGAGUUACCAGGUUUACCACCGCAUAGAGAGUUUGAUUUCUCUAUUGAAGUAUACCCAGGAACUGAUCCUAUUUCAGUAUCCCCUUAUAGGAUGGCCCCUCUUGAGUUGAAAGAAUUGAAAACUCAGUUAGAUGAAUUGUUGGGUAGGGGUUUUAUUCGUCCAAGUACAUCGCCAUGGGGAGCNNNNNNNNNNNNNNNNNNNNNNNNNNNNNNNNNNNNNNNNNNNNNNNNNNNNNNNNNNNNNNNNNNNNNNNNNNNNNNNNNNNNNNNNNNNNNNNNNNNNNNNNNNNNNNNNNNNNNNNNNNNNNNNNNNNNNNNNNNNNNNNNNNNNNNNNNNNNNNNNNNNNNNNNNNNNNNNNNNNNNNNNNNNNNNNNNNNNNNNNNNNNNNNNNNNNNNNNNNNNNNNNNNNNNNNNNNNNNNNNNNNNNNNNNNNNNNNNNNNNNNNNNNNNNNNNNNNNNNNNNNNNNNNNNNNNNNNNNNNNNNNNNNNNNNNNNNNNNNNNNNNNNNNNNNNNNNNNNNNNNNNNNNNNNNNNNNNNNNNNNNNNNNNNNNNNNNNNNNNNNNNNNNNNNNNNNNNNNNNNNNNNNNNNNNNNNNNNNNNNNNNNNNNNNNNNNNNNNNNNNNNNNNNNNNNNNNNNNNNNNNNNNNNNNNNNNNNNNNNNNNNNNNNNNNNNNNNNNNNNNNNNNNNNNNNNNNNNNNNNNNNNNNNNNNNNNNNNNNNNNNNNNNNNNNNNNNNNNNNNNNNNNNNNNNNNNNNNNNNNNNNNNNNNNNNNNNNNNNNNNNNNNNNNNNNNNNNNNNNNNNNNNNNNNNNNNNNNNNNNNNNNNNNNNNNNNNNNNNNNNNNNNNNNNNNNNNNNNNNNNNNNNNNNNNNNNNNNNNNNNNNNNNNNNNNNNNNNNNNNNNNNNNNNNNNNNNNNNNNNNNNNNNNNNNNNNNNNNNNNNNNNNNNNNNNNNNNNNNNNNNNNNNNNNNNNNNNNNNNNNNNNNNNNNNNNNNNNNNNNNNNNNNNNNNNNNNNNNNNNNNNNNNNNNNNNNNNNNNNNNNNNNNNNNNNNNNNNNNNNNNNNNNNNNNNNNNNNNNNNNNNNNNNNNNNNNNNNNNNNNNNNNNNNNNNNNNNNNNNNNNNNNNNNNNNUAAUGUCCCUGCUGCUUUCAUGGAUUUAAUGAACAGGGUAUUUCGUGCUUACUUGGAUCAGUUUGUGAUUGUCUUUGUGGAUGACAUCUUGAUCUACUCCAGGAGUUUGGAGGAGCAUAAGCAGCAUUUAGUGACCACCCUUGGAACUUUGAGAAGGCAUCAGUUGUAUGGGAAGUUGGACAAAAGUGAGUUUUGGCUUACUGAAGUGAACUUCUUAGGCCAUGUGGUUUCUGAGGCAGGAAUAGCAGUAGACCAUUCAAAGGUGGAAGCUGUACAGGAGUGGCAAAGGCCUACCAAUGUAUUUGAGGUUAGAAGUUUCUUGGGGUUGGCUGGAUAUUAUAGGAGGUUUGUGGAAGACUUCUCUAGAAUUGCAGCACCAAUGACUCGGUUGACUAGAAAAGGGGUGAAGUUUGAUUGGAAUGAGGAGUGUGAGAAUGCUUUCCAGGAAUUGAAGCGGAAAUUGACCACUGCUCCAGUGUUAACUGCUCCUAUUAGUGGAGAGUUGUUUACCAUUUAUUGUGAUGCUUCCACAGUGGGGUUAGGGUGUGUGCUAAUGCAGCAAGGCAAGGUGGUAGCUUAUGCCUCAAGACAAUUAAAGCAGCAUGAGCGGAAUUAUCCAGCACAUGAUUUGGAGCUUGCAGCAGUGGUGUUUGCCCUAAAGACUUGGAGACACUAUUUGUAUGGAGAGAAGUUUGAGGUGUACUCUGAUCACAAGAGUUUGAAAUACAUUUUCACUCAAAAGGAUUUGAACUCUAGGCAGAGGAGAUGGAUGGAGACAUUGGAAGAUUAUGAUUUUGCCCUUCAUUACCAACCUGGGAAGGCGAAUGUUGUAGCAGAUGCCUUGAGUAGAAAGAGCUAUGGCCAGUUGUCUAGCUUGGGGUUGAGAGAGUUUGAGAUGCAUGCAGUUAUUGAGGACUUUGAGCUAUGUCUUAGUCAGGAAGGACGUGGUCCAUGCUUAUACAGCAUAUCAGCUAGACCAAUGAUUAUCCAAAGAAUAGUGGAGGCCCAAGUUCAUGAUGAGUUUUUAGAAAAGGUUAAAGCCCAGUUGGUAGCAGGUGAAAUAGAUGAAAAUUGGUCUAUGUAUGAAGAUGGGAGUGUGAGGUUCAAAGGGAAAUUGUGUGUGCCAAAAGAUGUGGAGUUGAGAAAUGAACUUCUAGCAGAUGCUCAUAGGGCGAAGUAUACCAUCCACCCUGGGAAUACCAAGAUGUAUCAAGACUUAAAGAGGCAGUUUUGGUGGAGUGGGAUGAAGAGAGAUAUUGCUCAGUUUGUAGCUAAUUGUCAGAUUUGUCAGCAAGUGAAGGCUGAACACCAGAGGCCUGCAGGGUUGUUGCAACCUUUACCUAUACCUGAGUGGAAGUGGGAUAAUAUCACUAUGGACUUUGUGAUAGGGUUGCCAAGAACUAGAAGCAAGAAAAAUGGAGUUUGAGUGAUUGUGGACCGUCUUACUAAGUCAGCUCAUUUUCUAGCCAUGAAAACUACUGAUUCCAUGAACUCUUUGGCUAAGUUGUAUAUACAGGAGAUUGUGAGAUUGCAUGGGAUACCUGUAUCUAUAGUGUCUGACAGGGAUCCUAAGUUUACUUCUCAGUUUUGGCAGAGUUUACAAAGGGCUUUGGGCACCCAACUGAAUUUUAGCACCGCUUUUCAUCCUCAGACAGAUGGUCAAUCAUAGAGAGUGAUCCAUAUCUUAAAAGACAUGUUAAGGGCUUGUGUUUUGGAUUUUGGAGGAAAUUGGGCAGAUUACUUACCUUUAGCAGAGUUUGCUUAUAACAACAGUUACCAAUCUAGUAUUGGCAUGGCACCUUAUGAAGCACUCUAUGGGAGACCUUGUAGAUCGCCCUUGUGUUGGAUAGAGAUGGGUGAGAGUCGUUUAUUGGGACCUGAGAUUGUCCAAGAGACUACAGAGAAGAUACAACUCAUCAAGGAAAAACUUAAGACUGCCCAAGAUAGACAGAAAAGUUAUGCAGACAAAAGGAGAAGGCCCUUGGAGUUUGAGGAAGGGGAUUGGGUGUUUGUAAAAGUGUCCCCUCGAAGAGGCAUAUUUCGAUUUGGGAAUAAGGGGAAGUUAGCCCCUAGGUUUGUGGGACCAUUUCAGAUUGAUAAGAGAGUUGGCCCAGUGGCAUACAAGUUAAUUUUGCCUCAACAGUUGUCCCUUGUGCAUGAUGUUUUCCAUGUGUCGAUGCUAAGGAAGUGUACUCCAGAUCCAACUUGGGUAGUGGACAUGCAAGAUGUUCAGAUUAGUGAAGAUACAUCUUAUGUGGAGGAACCUUUACGAAUUCUGGAAGUUGGAGAGCAUAGGUUCAGGAACAAGGUGAUUCCUGCAGUCAAAGUGUGGUGGCAACACCAUGGGAUAGAAGAAGCCACUUGGGAACCUGAAGAAGAAAUGAGACGACACUAUCCGCAACUCUUCUACGAAUUUUAAGGUAAGCUAGUUUAAAUUUCGGGACGAAAUUUCUUUUAGGAGGGUAGGAUGUAAUGACCGGGCAUUUUAUGCCACGUUAGCAAUUUUAGUUUGAAAAGUCUUAAUUUAUGUGAUGGUUGAAAAGUCAAAAAGAAAAGCGUUUGGAGAACACGUGUCAAUUUCGGAUUGGUGAAUUUCGUUUUAUUGCGUCGGUCAAUUAAACGAGUUGAAAUUUUAUGCCAUGUCAGCCUUAGGAUAGAAAAUUCUUAGGAUUUUAGAAAUUGGAAAUUUACGGGAACGAAAAACGAAAACGAAAAAUGAAAAAUAAAUAAAUUAAGAUUAAUUAGAAUUAAUUAAGAAAAAUUAAUUAAUUAAUUAAAUUAAAUUGAUGAAUAAUAAUAUUGAGAAAAUUAGUUUUUAUUUGGUGUUAAUAAAUAAAAUUGUGUGUUAAAAUGAAAAAAAAAUGAAUGAAAAAUGAAUUGGAAAUUAAAUAAAACAAUUAGAAUAAAGAAAAGAAAUAAUAACAAUAAUAAUGGAUUGGGCUUAGUUUUUGAGUUGGGCUUGGAGCAAGUGGGCUGGUGGUUUUUUUUUUUAAAAAAGCCAUGUGAAGUGGGCUGGGCUGUUAGUAAAAGAAAAAAAAAAAAAAUGAAAAGGGAGAGAACUGGCAGUAGCACGCACGCGGGGAGAGAGAAANNNNNNNNNNNNNNNNNNNNNNNNNNNNNNNNNNNNNNNNNNNNNNNNNNNNNNNNNNNNNNNNNNNNNNNNNNNNNNNNNNNNNNNNNNNNNNNNNNNNNNNNNNNNNNNNNNNNNNNNNNNNNNNNNNNNNNNNNNNNNNNNNNNNNNNNNNNNNNNNNNNNNNNNNNNNNNNNNNNNNNNNNNNNNNNNNNNNNNNNNNNNNNNNNNNNNNNNNNNNNNNNNNNNNNNNNNNNNNNNNNNNNNNNNNNNNNNNNNNNNNNNNNNNNNNNNNNNNNNNNNNNNNNNNNNNNNNNNNNNNNNNNNNNNNNNNNNNNNNNNNNNNNNNNNNNNNNNNNNNNNNNNNNNNNNNNNNNNNNNNNNNNNNNNNNNNNNNNNNNNNNNNNNNNNNNNNNNNNNNNNNNNNNNNNNNNNNNNNNNNNNNNNNNNNNNNNNNNNNNNNNNNNNNNNNNNNNNUUGGGUGUUAGGCACCCUACUGAGCAAUGUGGAAAUGCUCACCCCUUCCUUGUUACACCUUUUUAGAUGCAGAUAUCUCUCCUGAGGAUCCACAGGUGGGACAGGGAGGACUUCAGGAUGCUCCUGGAGCGGCCUAGUGGAGCGUGGCAUUUAUUUGUUAUUGUGUUCCUUUUUGGAUUUUGGGGAUUUGUUUUAGCAAUUAUGACUCAUGGAUUUGCUAUGAAGCUUUAUUUGAUUAAGUUGUUAAUUGUGAACCUUUAUUUUGGACUAUAAUGAAUAUUUAUUUAAUCUUGUUGUUUUGAGUAGUUUUGGGAUAUUGUAAUUUAUGAGAAUUCUAGUGAGAUGUAUAAAAAAAAAAAAAUCCAGAGUGUUUUGGUUGACUGCCAACAUGGAAUAGGAGGAAUCCUUAGGGUCAAACCUUUGACCUGGGGUCACGGGUCAAAUUUUGGGUCGCCCGGAAUUUGGGUCGUGACAGUGUUGGUCAAUUUCUACCCCAAAUGUCCACAACCGGACCUCACUCUCGGACUCAAGCGCCAUACGGAUCCCGGUACCAUCACGCUGCUGCUUCAGGAUCAGGUGGGUGGGCUUCAGGCUACAAGGGAUGGUGGAAAGACUUGGAUCACCGUUCAGCCUGUUGAAGGAGCUUUUGUUGCCAACCUUGGAGAUCAUGGCCAUGUGAGUACAAUUAAUUAAGCUCUUAAAGUUCUCUGUUUCUAUAUACAAUAUUGGUCUACCAAUCCUUAUUAAAAGUAAUAUAUAUCCUCUAAAACAAUAGAGCUAUUAAACAAAUAUUUUGUUACAAAUUAAAGUCAUUUUUUGUCUUCAUCUAUAAUUUUCCUUUUUUUUUUUAUAUAUAUAUAUUUAUGUUUCCCCCCUGUUAUUAUAAUUUCCAUUCAUUCACGAGAAAUGGCUUUGAAAUAAUGAAACUGGAGAUUCAUCAGGGGAUGCUCGUAAUACAAAUUGAUUUAUGAGUAAACGUUGAACUGAUUGACUGAGCGUACGCAUGCAUGCAGUUCAUGAGCAAUGGAAGAUUCAAGCGCGCGGAACACCAAGUGGUGGUCAACUCCAACUGUGAUCGAUUUUCGAUAGCAACAUUCCAAAAUCCGGCACCAGAAGCAAUAGUUUAUCCUCUGAAGAUAGAAGAAGGAGAGAAGGCAGUGUUGGAGGAGGCCAUAACCUUCCAAGAGAUGUACGUGAGGAAGAUGAACCGGGACGUCAACCGUCCCUGGCUAAAGAAGCCUGUCAAGGAUCACCAGUCUUAUGAUUUUGAUCAUCAAUCCAAACUGGCCCCCAAGCUUGCUGAGAAUAUUUUCGUUUAAACUCAACUGCGUUCUUCAUGUCCCGCUUGCGUUUGCGUGUGUGUUUUUUGGCCUUUCCUUUUUUGUUGUUCUCCUGCCAAAGUUCUAUGUGUAGUGUGUACUCAGGGGACCUGCGGAGUAGUCUCUUUUUCGUGUGAGGAUCAGCUACGAAAAACGUACCGUUCAAUCUUCAUGAUAGGAGGCCUCUGGAUGCCCUUCUUAUUUGAUUUAUUUUUAUUUAAUGCAUGGGGAAAUGUGUCCUAAAUAAUAACACAAAUUUGAAAAUUCAAAUACAUUUAUCCAAAAAUAAUUAAAAUUUUAUUCAAUUUUUUUUGGCAUCAAAAUUACUAAUUUUGAUCACAUAGGAAUAAGUUUGGAAAAUAAUAUUUUAAUACAUUUAUGCACUUUUUUCCUAUUAAAAAUAUUAUUAUAUUGAGAAGAAAUUCCACUUGUAAGGGUCCAUUUAGAUUCAACUCUAUUGUGACCAAGACGAAAACAUCUGUAAUUAUAAAUAUAUUGAUACUUUGAUUUUAUAGAUAUAUCGAAAAUAUAUCGACAGAUAUUUUGAUACAAAAUAUCGAUGAGUCUAAAAUUAAUUAAAAUUCAUGAAAAUAUUAAGAAAAAAAUCUAAAAAUGAUAUAAUAAAUAAUAAUAAACAUUUUAAAGUUUUUUUUAUAAAAAAAAUGAUAUAUGCAUAUGAUAUAAUUAAUUAUAUUUGAUAAUAAUAUAGUAUGCAUUGAUAAAAAAUUAUGAAUUUUAUAAGUUGAUAUUUAUUAUUAAAUUCCAUCAAAUAUUAUUUGAUAAUAAUAUUGUGAUAUUUGAUUAUGAUAUAUUUAAUUUUGAAAUAUAUUUAAUAUUAAAAUUAUGAUUCAUUUUAAUUUAAUUGUAUUAAAUAAUAUAAAAUAAAUAAUGAUAUAUAAAUAAAAAAUUUAAUAUUCAUAUUUUUUAUAUUUAAUUAAUAUAUAAAUUAUAUAAAAAAUUUGUUAAGAAAAUUAUCACAAUAAUUUUGUCUAUUUUUAGUGAUCAAUUAAAUGAAAUUUAAAGAUAAAAGAAUUAGAAUUAAUUUGUUUAUUAAUUUUUUUUUUAAUAUUUUGUUUUAUGAAGGUUUUAGUAUAUGGUUAUUUUGGUGCAUGCAAUAUAUUGAGGAAGUAAUGUAGCCCAAUAGUGAGCCCAAGUUGAGUUUGCUGUUUUGGCCUGGGUUUGAGGCCCAACGCCUGCAACAAGCCAAAAUUGUUGAAUUUUUUAGGGUUGGAAAUAUUGUCCACACGGAUAUAUCUUCCCAAUAUUUCUAUCGGUGGCUACCAAUAUUUCAGGGAUAUAUCGGCGAUAUAUCCCGAAAUUUUCAACCAUGAUUGUGACUAUUGAAUUGAUCUAUUCCUAACUUAGAGUUCAUUCUCAAUUGAAAUUUUCACUAAUCAAAACUUUUAUUAUUAUCAUUAUUGUUAUUGUUGUGGUGGUUGUUUUUCUUAUUAUUAUCAUUAUUGUUGUUGAUGUCUAUUGUAAAUGAGUAAACUUGAUAUUCAUGUAACCUUCAUCAUUAUCAUGAAAUAUUUAUUAUAGGCAAAAACUUUAUGGAGCACAUUUCAUGUCCCAAAGCUAUGAAAAAAAUUAUUUUAUGAUCUCUUAUGAGAAUAAGUUAUGUAAAAAAAAGUUAAUGAAAUUAUUUUAUUAACUUCUUUUAUCGAAGAAACUGCUAAAGUUUCUUAUUACUGUACUCUCCAAAUUUAGGGUGUAAACGAACACCAAGAAGAAUUUGAGCGGGAGAAAAUAGAAGAGAGAUAGAAAAACUCAAACCUUAUGGAGAAAAUAUUAUCGACUCACCAAUGAGCUUACUAUUUAUAAACAAUAUUAUUGAUGAAAGAUAAGAUUGCAAAGUAAAUAGAUAAUUUUCUCCAUUCCUUUUUAUUUAAACUCACAUAUGGACGGUGAAAAUAUUUAAAUUCUAAUAUCUCCCACUUGUCCACAUUGGAUGAAAUCUCUUCUUUUUUUUCUCUUUUAAUCUUGCAAUUCUAAAAAAAAAUAUUAAAAUUUUUAGAAGUGAAAAGGUUACCUUGGCCAUGCCUAGAAUUGUAUAUCGUUUAAUAUCACUUGCAAUAUUAGAAAUAUGAAUAUCCCCUUCUUGAAACAAAUAGAUGAAAGGUAAUUUUUAUACUAUAUCCAAGUUGUCUCACAAGUAAUAUUGAUGGGAAAAAUAGGCUAAAAUUUUGCUAAGGAAAAGUGACUUUAAGAUGGGUUGAAUGGAAUCAAAUCGACUAUUCUCACACUUUGUGAACCUAGAUUAAUUUAUUGAUGUUAGAAAAAUGAGGCUAAUCCAAUCUAAUAGGGUGAUAGUCUUUUUUUGCAAAUUUAAAUUGUAUGAAUGCAAGAGACAAUUAUAUGCAAAUAUAUAAUAAAACAAUAAAAAAAAUAAUUGCAUAUAAAGUAAAAGAAUAAGAAAAAGAGAAUGCAAACACAAUAUUUUUAUAGUAGUUCGGCACAACUCGACCUACAUCCACUCUCCUCUAACUUCUAUCCCAAGCUUGAGAUUCCACUAAUUUAAGACUUCCAAACCAAGACUUUAAACAAUACAAUUAAAUUAUAAUUUCAAUCUACCCUCUUGGAUUUUUUACUCCAAGCACUCUUUACAAACCUCAAGAGAUACCUCACUCUUAAAUAACCCCUCUAGUGAUACCCCACACUUGAGAAUCCCUAAGAUCUCACACUUAGAUUCUUCAUCUCAAAGAUUUACAAAUUAAGAUAAUAAAUGAUCUUACAAAAUCCUAGUACAAAACUUUAAAGUUUAAAUAAUACAAGAAAACUAGGAUUGAAUGGUGUACUAAUGAUAUACAAGUUUUAGAACAAUGGUGCACUAAAAAAUACUCUUUCAAGGCUCAAAUAUAUUCAAAAAAUGUUUAGGAAGGUUAAACUCUUGAAACAAUGAAGAUUAGAGCUUUUUUAUAAAGGAAAAAUGUCAAACUAGUCGUUGGGGGUUCGACAGGUUGAGUUGGGGUUCGACAGGUUGAGCUAGGAGUCAACCGAUUGACUAGCCGUUAGCAUUUAAUAUUUGGCAGGUGACCGUUGGACCUCGACCACCCCUUAACCGAAGCUCGACCAGUUGAGGUUCAACAUUGACCAAUUAAACAACCAUUCUGGAAGAGAGAGAAUGUUUUUUACAAUCCUCGACUGAUUGAGAUGAGGUCGACCAAUUCCUUAUCUAGUUCAACCGGUUGAGCUGUUUUUGGCUUAAUAACCAACUUUUUCAACUUAAAAUUUUUUAAACAAGUUUAGAAAACAUUUAACACAAGAUUUUAAUUGAAAACAUGAAAUCAUCCAAUUUUAAAAAAUGAAAAACUCUUAGAUGAUUUUGAUGCAUAAGUAAAUAAUGUAAUGUAUAAAAUCCUAAUGCAUCAACAAUCUUAUAAAGAGAUCUUAUGAAGCUUGGGUCUUGAAAAACACUUCUCUUUGAGAUCUUUUUCUUCUUAAUGAUUUUUCUUUGACUUGAUUUGUCUUUAUGAUUGUCACUUUGGAAAUUAUCUUGUCUAAUCACACUUGAAAUAUAAUCAUUAAUUCUAAACCUUAUUUUGUUAUCAUCAAAAUUAAGAUUGAUCAAACCUUGGUUUCACAAUUGAAAUAAUAAAAUUAGAUAAGUUAAGGAAUUUAAGAAGUGAAUGAUGUCUUUAAUUUUGCUACCGAUAAAAAUGACUUAUUUGUUAUAGUUUUGAAAGUCUUUUGAUUUCUAGAAAUUAAAUUAUCUUGUUUUUUUUUAAUAAACUUGUGAACGGUUUUUCAUGUCCAAAUAAUUCAAAUUAUUCAAGAUUGCUAGUUAAACUUUUGAAAAUCAUAGUCCUUGGAGGGUUUUCUAUAUCUAAAAUACUUUAGGAUUAAGAAUAAAUUAAUAUCAUGGGAUCUUGAUUUGAACUUUUUUUUUUUUUUUUUGAAUGAUACAAGGUUGCUUGAACACCCAUUUAGACCUUUCAAAUGGACAUGGACGUUGGAAUGAUUUUCUUUUGAUUUGCAUGCCACCAUUUUAAAAAGCUUCAAAUUAACACUCAUCUUUUUUCCCAUACUUCCUACUUCAUACGUCCAUCCAAUAUAGAGUCCAAGAUAUUUCUAACUGAUUACUUGCUCUUGCUCGAGUUGAUCCAUGUUUUCUCUAUUUCUUUCAUUUUUCUAGUCCUUAUCUUUUCUAUUUCUUUUUUUCUUUUUUCUUUUUUCUUUUUUUUCUUCCAUGGCUCAUGGUAUGGGUAGUACCCGAAGGACUCAUGCCUUAUCUUUUUCAAUUUCUCAUGCACAUACUCUUGUACAUCUUAGAUAUGCCACGGAUGACCUUCCAAUAGUAUUUUUGUUCUACUGAGCAUAGAGUCUUUUUAUAAGAGAUUUUUUUAUCGAAAUUUCCCAUGCAUUGUCUAUGUGAGGCGAUAAGAGCCUCUAACUUGUGUUUGAGGGGUUGUGUAACACUCAAAUGUUCUAUGCAAACAUUUUUUAUUAUAUAUCUAACGUUAGUUUUAGGUGAUGUUUGCAAAAUAUUUUGGUUUUUUUAUUCAGUUAAAAAUAAUUUGUUGAUAUCAACUAACAUAACUAAAAUGAAUUUGUUAUUAAUAUGUUUAGUUUAGUUAUGUUAAUUGAUAUAACAUGUUACUUUUAACUGAAUAAAAAAAAUUAAAUAUUUUAGUUUUUUCUAUUCUAUAAAAAAAAACGAACAUCAUCUUAAUGUUUUCAUUCAUGGUUUAGCUUUUUGUAGACCCCCUUUUAGGUCAUUCCUACCUUGCAGCUCAAUUUUACCAUGUGGAAGAGCCUUGGUCAGCCACGUGUCAACACCUGAGAAGCCAUGAGAGAAUCAUAAUAGUGGUUUGGGAAGCCAAUCAAAAGGGGACACGUUGCAUGGGAAUCUGGAAGCCGUUAAUGGAGGAGCGUCUCUGGCAGCUGGGGAGGAGGUGCUUUUCAGAGUCCGUUAGAGAUAUUUUGAGGGGUUUUAGGCUGCGGCUUGCAGGGUGAGAGGGGGAGGAGAGUUUGAGAGAGAGCAAAUCAGAGGUUUUGAACUUUCUUGGGCUGCAAGUUUGAGAAGGGAGGCCGUUAGAGAUAUUUUUUUCGGAGAGAGAUUAUUGGAGAAGCAAGCUGAGAGAACCAGAGUGCUGCCUGGAGAUAUUAGAGGAGAGAGAGAGAACAGGGAGGUUUGGGGUUGGAGCAGAGAGGCUAGUAGCUUGAGAGGAGGGAGGAUUGCUUGAGGAACCUAUUGAGGAGAAUUAUGAGCUGAAUAUCGACACGAGGCGGAGCAGUGAGUUACAGCCGAAAGCACCCAGCUGAGGAAGAGAUUUUCAGGUUUGGGGUUUCUUUUUGUCUUCAAGUACAUUUUUAUUCUUCAUAUAUCAUGCUCUGCAACUUUCACUGUGUUUUGUUGGGUUGUUUUAGCUUGAUGAUUUUCUUUGGUUUAAUAUUUGAAAGCUUGUUAUAUUUCAUGUUUCAUUCCCGCAAAUACUUUUAGUUCGACUCACCUAUUAUUGUAUCCAUGGAUAAAUGAUGAAAUGGAUUCAAUAUGAUGUUAAAGAGCUACUCUCCGGUUACUCUGUUUUUCCCCUGAACAUAUAUCAAAAAGGUCGUGAGGUUAGGAGUGACUGGGACUAAGCUGCAUGUGGCGAUCUACAGUGAGAUGACCAAAGCUGGAUUCACUUGAAAUAUCAAGGUCCAUGAAAGAAUUUCAUGAAGGAUGAAAUCCGUGAAGGGAUUGUCAAAGCCACUGGGUUUUGUUAAAAUUUAUUUGGCAUUUAGGUUGACUGUGAGGGUUGAAUGCCAUUUGAUAUCGAAAAUCUGAGUUUCCGAGACCAAGAGGAGUCAUGAUUGAAAUAUCCGAUGUGUGUGCGGUGCCUCAAAUUGCUGGGAGUAUUCUUUAGUGGAACUGUUAUGUAUCAUUGGGCAACUAUGCAACCAAACCUCUCUUACAGAGAUCCAGGCAUCAAUUAUAGUUCCCAUCCUACCCAUUGUUUGAUACCCACGAGACCUUUCAUACCCAUUUCUAUUACCACCACUCUCUCUCUACACCACCAUGCACCCAUCUCAUCUCUCCCUUUCGCUCAUCAUACCCACACUUCCAUACUAACCCUCAUCUUCAUGCCCCAUGCAUGCACCCAUCAAACCCAUUCCACAUUACCACCUUUUCUCUCUCUUCAAACUCUUUCAUACCCAUUUCACCACUCCUUAUUCAUCAUCCAUCAUCCAGCCCUGUUCAUCUAUCCCAACCUCUCUGCUCGUCAUGCACCUCAAAGACUAGUCCAACAAGUCUCAGUCUGCCGUCAUUAAUCUUCGCGUCUUCAGCGAUAGCAUCAAGGUUCUGUCGGAGAUGAAGUAAAACGUGAAGAUUGCAAAUGGGUUUCAGAGCAAAACUUCACUCAUGAACUGAUCUAUGGGACGAACACAGCAGCUUUGAGCACAGCUCCGCUCAACAAUGGGUUGAGUUGUGGCUCUUGCUAUGAGGUUAAGUGCGUGAAUGACAGAAAACGGUGCCUGCUUGGCUCCAUUGUGAUCACAGCCACCAGUUUACGCCCACCAGACAAUGUCCUUCCACUUUCAACAGUCUGAUCCAAUGGCCACUGUUGGCGGCGCCGGAAGCCUAUCUCUGUUUGGUGUUUAGGCGAAUCCGAUCUUCUUCUUCCUCGUCCUGUGGUAGUGGUCAGGGAUAAUCUUGGAAGCCAUUUUUCCAGCUGCUACUCGUGAAUAUGCACCAUCGGCGGAGCACGGGCAGCCACUACAUUGCCUCGUCCAUCUCAUGCUUUAACUAUGGGAUUACCUUGUGUCUACAAACUUGGGGAUUAUGAUGCAGUUUUGAGAUGCUUGAAAAACUCCAAGGGCAUUGAAUUUGAAGGGAUAUCUUGAGGAACUUUCAAUGUUGUUGAGAUACUUUCACGUUCCUUUGAAUUAGAGCAGUGGAUGCCAUGCAUGCCGAGACAUUUUUCUGAUGACGAGUUUGGCGAGGUGGAUAUUGAUGGUUCAUUGGCUGCUAGUCAUUCCUCAGUGGCUAAAGAUGUUGUCAUGGUUAAGAAAGGAUGCUGAAAGUAGGGAGAUCAAAGGGAAAGGGGCGUUAUAGAAAAUUACUGUCGUGCUAUGAACCCAUGCAAUCACGUGGAUUUGGUGUGUUGCCGGUUCGCGCCCAUCUCGGUGCAUUUGAUCUGGAGAAGUGAAUCAAUUGACUUGUCAGUCAGAGAAGGAGCCAGUCAAUAAAGGGAAGAGGAAGCUGCCCAGUAUAUUCAGAGGUCAUGGCAUGCACUAUGGAAAUCAAAACGGUUGAUGAAUAUUGUUACAGAGAUCAGUGGGCGGAUGGACUAAGAUUUUGAUGCAGUCCAUGUGGUUCGAGGUGAGAAAGCACGGAAUAAAGAGCCAUGACCCCAUUUAGAUUCUGAUACUUCACCUGAUGCCCUCUGUCCCAAGCUGAAGGAGAUGGUUCAUCCAUGGAGGAAUCUGUGUAUCACACCCAAUGAGCCAUUUUAUAAUUAUUUUGAUAAACUGAGAAAACUGAAGCAGCAAAGCAUGGUCACCUUUAGGGUUGUUUAUUAUUUUAUUUCAUCUUUCACCAUUUUUAAUUUCAAAGCAAUCCCAUAAAUUCCGGUUUUCAAAUAUUUUUCAAAUGACUUCAAUUCUUUUCUUGAAAUUUCAUCCUUAGGGCUUUAGGUCUCAAAAAUUCACUUUUCAAAUAAAAUUCACUGCCAUUCUUUCUUUUGGCCAGUGACUUUCACAAUUCCUCUGAUUUUCAAAAUGUUUUAAAUAAGCAAGGAUUAAAUUCUGUAAUUCCAAAUAAUGGAAUUUCAUGGGAUUAAUUCAUGCAAAAUAAAACGGGCUUUGGUGGGGGCCCCACAUAGGUGAUUUUAUAAUUAAUUGAUUGAUUGAUUGAUUUAAUUGCUUCAAUUGUCAUGCAUGAUUGAUUUUAUUCUGUUUCUUGACAUGCGUAUAAGUAUAUGUACAUAUUUAUGGUUCACUGAUCCUGCUUCAUGAUAGCGCAUUUGUCGCUAGAGGUCCAGGUACGCACUCAUUCUCAUUUUGAUUAUUCUCUAUGCAUGCUCUUAUUUUCAUAUGUGCAAGUUUGAUUUGAGUAUCCGCUGAUUUCCUCAUUGAUUGCCACGUCAGCUUCAUUUUAUUAGUAGAGACCCGACUUUAGGGACUUAGAGGGGUGCUACGGUCUUUACCGUACCUUCCCGAUAAGUAACCUGACCCCCGAACCCGAUCCGGUUUUUCACAGACCGCCUUUUCCAAAAUAAGGAGUCACACUUAGGGUUUUUUCUUUCUUAUUUUGUUUACCCUUUAAAAAUAAAACAAAAAUAAGUGGCGACUCCAAGUCCUUUUUCAAAUAAUCAAUAAAAAUCAAUUUUUUUCAAAUAAAAAUCGAGCUCGCCAUCAAGUGGGAAACGCAUUGAGAUAGAUCGAAAUGCGGGGUCCACACUUUUACUAUCACUAUGAGACUAGUCUUAUUGGGAUAGAAUCUUUAAAAUUAUGAGAUAAUAUAACAAAAUAAGAUUUCAACAUUAUAUUUAUAUUUUGAUAUAUUUGAUUUCUUAUUCGGGAAUUGAAUUGUAUUUUACAAAGUAAAAUUUAAAUUUAAGUUUUAACUUUGAUUCCAAAUAGAUAUUGAAAUUACUUGGAUUGGGCAAUAAAGUUGAUAGUAGUUAAAUUUAGGAAAGUGAAAUUUCGAUUUGAAUUCAAUUAUGGUAACUUAAAAUUCACAAAACAUAGAAUUUCUCCUGCUUCUUCUUUUUUUUUUUUUUCUUUUUUUAGUCACGAUGAAAAACACUCUCAACAAGUUGUGUCUAGUUUCUAAUAUGCUAGUAACUCUAAAAAGUUGGAUUCCUUCAAGGCUUUCAAUUUUACUUAACACACCUUUAAGUUGAGCUUACAAUUUAGCUAUCUUUUUAUUGUUUAAAAGCACAUUAAUCAACUCAUCAAUUUUAUGAACUAUUAAUAUUAUAAUAGUAGACAAACUUCUAAUAUUUCAAUUCACCUCCUUUGUGCUCUUACCUUUUCCUUUGUAACCACAAUUUGGAACACUAUGCACAAUCAUAUAUCCUCAUGUAUUGACUUCUUAAGUUUGUAUCACUAAUGAAGUCUACCCCUAAGUGCUCAUUCAACCAUCUCCUCUAUAGGGACAUUUCAUGUCCCUUAUAAUUGUCCUUUAAUAGUGAGCAUAUGACACAAUUUUUAAAAUACAAGUCUAUCAAUUCUUAGUUGUGUCACACAUGUGUAACACACACGGUUCAAAGUAUCGGCCUAGUCGUAUCCACCUCGAGCCUCUUCGUGUCGAGUCUGAUACCUAAUACCCGAUACGAUCUAAAACUCAUACUCAAAUCAAGAAUCGUUUUAACCUUAGUUGACUUGAUUUGGGUUUCCGAGUUGACUAGGUCGAACCUUCCGAGUUACCAAAAGAAAUCAUUUUUCCACUUCAAAAUAAUAGCAAUUGAACAACAAUUGAGAUCUAAACCUAAAAAACCUCUGAAAAAUCAAAGAUUGCCUUCAAAAGGAAAAACUUUUCAACAAUCAAUACUCAUGACCCAUUAUGAAGAAGAAUAAAGGCAUCAAUCUAACCAUGAGUGUUGGAGGUGUAUAAGAAGAGGAGGUUGAGGACAUCACUAAUUGCAGAAUGGAUGUGGAGAGCCUUCAGUAGUGCCGUUGGGAAUGCAACAACAGUUGUUGCCUUUCUGUUUCUGCUUUUUUUGUCUUAUCUCACCGUGGUGUGGGUGAAUCUUGUGAGUGAAUUGGUGAUAUUGAAAAAAGGGUCGUGGGUGUGAAUUGGGUAUUUGGAGAAAGGAUAUUCGUAAUAUAUUAACUGAUUUUUUAAACUAUUAUUUCAUACGAUAAUGAUUUAUUGUUUUAUAUAUUAAUAGUGUGAUAUAAAUGAUAUGUAGUGCAUUAUUUUAUAUGGUAAUGGUAGCAUAUUUGGUGUAUUAAUUUCUUAUUAACAAUCUAUUCAAACCAUUUAAUUUGUUAUUAUUUUAACAUUAUUAAAAUCAUUUAAUCAAAAUUAAAAAUGGAAUUGAUGAUUGAGUUAUGUCUUUUAUUAAAAAUAUUAUUAUAUGUGAAAUAAAAUAAUUUUAAAUUUUUAAUAUUAUUAUAAAUUGCUUUCUACAAAGGCUUUAUAAUUGUUUAAGUAAUGUUAAAUGUGAAAUAAAUUUUAUUUGUUAAUUUUUUAAAACUUAUUUAAUUAAAUUUAUCUUUCUAAAAUUUUUUAUAAUAUUUUUGUAAUUUUUAAUUAUCAUAUUUUGUGUAUCAUACGAUAUCGAGCUAAGACACCGAGACCGAUGUGCCUCGGGACCGUCCGAGUUAAUGAACGCUACCACGACUUUGAACCAUGGUAACACAUUCUUGUGUAUAACCUUCUCAAAUUAAGUCCAGUUUGAAUGUGUAAAGCUAAAUAUCUUUUUUUUUUUUUUUUCACCAUUUUUUUCCAUAAAAGAACCAUGUUGAAAAGUAUUUUUAAAUUCUUUUUAAUUUUUCUUCAUUUAUGUUCAUAGUUUUCUUGAACAUCUUACUCAUGCAGUGGUGUAGGUCUGGCUAUCAUUGAGUAUCUCAGUUUCGAUGGUGGCACAGUCCAUGCUCAGAAGAAGUUGUUGCAGGAGACAUGAUAUGGCUCAUCUACAAGUAGUUUUGGCUGGCCAAAGUGAGGAGAAAUGACAACUCUGAGUUGGGUCUUGUACUUAUGUGAAACUGUUAGGCAUCAAUGAUGGCAUGGAGAAUCCAAUAUAAGAAUUAAUGGUGAAAACCUAGUCAAUGGUGAAAAGGAUAAUAGUGAUUGUUGGUGAUCUGAUGUGCUAGAAAUUGAUGUUGUCUCCAACAAACUCCGUUUCAUUCAUCCUCAAUGUGCAUGAAUGCCUUGUGCAUGGCCACCUUGCUCACGUGCUCCCUGAACACAACCCUCCCAAGCCUCCAUCAAAGUCUCAAAUUCCCGUCUUAUCCCGAGAACCCUCUGAUCAAAUAGCGCAGUGCAGAAUACUGGACAUUGAAGACCUGAGUAAGAACUCGAAACAAGUUCCCUCUCAUCAUUAGAUGGAUACAUACCCAGCUCAAUCUAUCACUUACAUUCCCAAUUCUGUCGUAAGGAACAUCGUGUGCAUAUUCCCGAGAGGUUGGAAAUAGUCAAUUGGCUAGGAGCAAAAUUGAACCACCACUUAAGCAAACACAGUGGGAACAACACUGCUGGACUGUCGUGGUGGUAUGGCAUUUCUGCAAGUGAGGUUUUGAGAAAGAAAUUUGUGGAGAUCAAGUUGAAAAGUAGUGGAAGAUCCUUGAGAAUGUGGAGUUGUACCAGUCCAUGAACAAUAGAUAAAUGCACCAUGUACUCUGCAUGACAGGAAUGCACCCUCAAUGCGUCACAUCAAAGUUCCACAAACUUCCAACCUCCACCUCCCCAGGCCCACUUCUGCACCCAUGCAUGGCCACCUUGGCCAUGCAAUUCCAUAGGCCACAUGUUUCCAUCCUCUUAAUUCUUCAUACAUGCCUUCAAAAAUUGAUUUAUAUAUAUAUAUAUAUAUAUAUAUAUAUAUAUAUAUAUAUAUAUAUAUAUAUAUAUAUCAUGUUUUUAAAUCAUUUCAAUUCCAUAACUUUUCUUUCUUCCUUAGAAUUUUUUUAGGUCAUCAAAAUUCAUUUUCAAUAAAAUUUACUAGCAUUUUCAUGUAAAAUAAAUUGGGUAUUGGUGAGACCCAACAUCUGUGAUUAAAUAUUGAUUGAUUUUGAUUUGUUUUGCAACAUAUGAUAUCAUUCUGUACUUGUUCAUUAACCUUGUUUUCAUGAAGCAAUCAACUCACUACUCAUGUACAGUACUUUUUACCUUUCUUGUUCAUUUAUUUAUUUUUAGAUUAAUAUUGUUUUGGUAUCCAUUGACUUUCCAAUCAAUUGUUAUGUUUGCCCUAAUUGAUUAUUAGAGACUCAUUUUUAGGGGUUUAAAGGGGUGUUACGGCUUAUCACUGUAUCUUCUCAAUAAAUAACAUGAUCUCUGGACCCAUAUUUUGUUUUUCGUAAACCUGUUUUUCCUUGAUGAGUCACAUUUUUUCUUUCUUAUUUUGUUUUUUCCUUCAAAACAAGUGUAAACUCCAAAAACAAUUUUCAAAACUCAAAUUUUCUAAUAAAAAAUGAGUCUUAGAAAUGCAUACAAGAAAUACAGGGUCCACAAAAGGAUAUUUAUUAUUUUAUCCUUUUAAUCAAAUAAUUUAAAAAAAUAAACUUGCAGACAUAAUAAUGCAAAUGAUUCCAAUUGGUCGUCCCAUUCUUUCCUUGGGACCCCUCUUAAAGCUAUUCUUUAUUAUGGUAAUUUCUCUUUUUAUAAUUUUUAUUAGAUACUCUAACUUGUGUAAUUUAGUUUUCCAAUGAUUUGGUUUCUAUAAUUCAAUUUAUAUUAAGAAAUAAUAUUAGCAUCAAACAAUGUAUUCUUUCGGCAACCAUUUUGUAGACCUCAAAAUUUAUCUCAAUUUUAUUUUUACAUUAAUUUUGAAUUCAAUUUUGUCCUUAGAUUUUAAAUUUCAAUUACAUAUGAUGUUUUUGACACACUCACUAUUUAAUUAUUAAUUUUUAUUAUUUUGUAUUUUAUUUUAUUUUUUAUUUUUUUUAAUUUUUUUUUAUUUUUUUCUCUCUCCUCUCUUCUCUCUCUUCUUACAUUUCCCACCUACCCCACUCACAUUCUCUUUCUCCUCCCGUACCUCUCCACAUACCCUCACGUCACCACACUCCCCCUACUAUCUUCCCUCUUUCUUUAUUAGUUGUUCUCCCCCCUAUUCUCAGGCAGCCAACUCCCCCUUCUCCCCUCCCCCCUAUUUUCUUCUUCAUUUUUUUCCCCAGCACUACUCACCACACUCCACUCACAGUUGGCUCCUUCAUUUGGGUUUCCCUAUUUUCUUCUUUAUUUUCUCUCCCCAAUCAUCAAUUUCCAGCCACACGCCUCUUCUCUCACUUCUUCCCCCAUUUUUCUUUUGUUAUUUUAUUUUUCUUCUUCUCCUAGCCUUUUUUUCUUCCAAUCUUUUUCCCUUUUCUUCCUCCACCAAACCCCACUUCUAGAGACGCACCACACGAGAAAAUUCUCUUAUCCCUUCUGCUCCCAUCUUCCUCUCAUUUCUCCAUUUUUUUCUACUCUUCAUUUUCCUUUCUUUAUUUUUAUUUUAUUUUUUGUUUCCUAGAAAAGCCAUCAAUUGCCGCCGAGAAUAUCACUGGUCUGACUGGUGACUUCCUCCCCUUUUAUCUCAUUCUCUCACUUUCCCAUCAUACCCAUUUUCUAUUAUUAUUAUUAUUAUUAUUAUUUUCUUUAUUUUUCUUGAUUUGAUUUUAAUAGUAAUUAUUAUUGAAAUUGAGUUUGUGCAUUUAUAUUUGUUUAUAGGCCUUAUGUUUGAACUUUGUUAAUUAGUAUGAAAUUUAGGUUAAUUUGUUGUUGGUAAAUUAAUGUGAAAUUUGGGAUAAUAUAUUAUUAGUGAAUUAAUUUAGAAUUAGCUAAUUUAGGGUAGAUUAAUUGAUAAUUUAUAUGAUUAUGCUCAUUUUCAUUAUUUAAUUUGGAUAGGAUAUAACAUUGUAGUAUAUUUUGGAUGUGGGAUUGCAUAUUAAAUUGAGUUGAUUUUGGUUGUGGAUUUAAGAUUGCAUAUUAAAUUGGGCUUGGACUAUGGGAUAUUAAAUUUAAGCCUGGAUUUAUUUUAAUUUAUCAUUUUUAAGUUUGAUUAAUUGAGCUUAUAUUUUGACUAUUAAUUUGAAAACUUUAAAUUAUGGUCUAUGAUAUGUGAGAUAUUUUUCUUGGGUUAUAUUUUUAAAUUUGGGCUCAUUUUUAAUUGCUGAAAUUUAUUGGACUAAUUCGAAAUUUGAAUUUGGAUUUGAAUAUUUGUUUAGGAUUUUGUACAUUUCUAGAUAUUUACUUUGGACUAUUUUUGUUUUUGCAUGGGCUCAUUCUACAAAUCUGUUGGCUGAGUACAAAUUUAUGACACGUGGAGCACGGAAUUUCAUGGAACAAAGUGAGACUCGAAAAGCUAUAAAUGGAGCAUUGAACUUGUUGUAAGCUUAUCGGGGUACACAUUUUAUUUCCCACUUUUUUUGUUUUUAUUUUUAUUAAUUCUUGUAAAUAUUCGUUUAUAUAUAUUUAUUGAGUGUAUAUAGAAUUAUAUAUUGAACAAACCAGAAAUUUUGUUUAAAUAAGAGGUAUAAUUGAGUAAAUAUGUUUUAAUAAAAUAAUAAUUUUAAAAUAUUCUUUUUAAUAAAAGAAAGUUUUUUUAUUAAUAAAAAUUCAAAAAAAAUGAUUUUAGAAAAAUCCAAAACAUUGUUUUUUAUAGAAUUUGAAAAUUUGUUUUUAACAAUAAUUUUCCAAAAUUUUUUUUGUUUAAUAAAAAUUGUCCAAAAAUUGUUGUGUAAAUAAAGUUGUCCUAAAAAUUGAUUUUUAAUUAAAAAUUCUUUUGCAAAUAAAUUUAUAUAUAUAUUUUUAAUAAUUUGUAUAAAACACUUUUUUUAAAUGAAAAUAAAUGCAAAUACUUUUUUAAAAUAAAAUUGUAAAAAAUCAUUCAUUUUUUGUAAAAACAAGUAAAAUAAUUUUUGUUGCCAAAUUGAAAUUUUACAAUAAAUUUUUUUGAUACAAUAAGUGUAAAUAACUUUUUUUGAACAUUGAAUACAAAUGAAGUUGAGGAAAUAAUUUGACUCCUUUUUUUGUAAAUAAAUAAAUAAAUUGAAAUUAUUAAUUGAAAAUUGUUUUUAACAAAAUUCUUUGAAAUUUCUUGAAAACUGAUUCUUUUGAAAUAUUUUUUUAGUUCAAUAAAUCGUUUUGCAUAAUUCUCUUGUCAUUUAUUUUGUAUAUUCUUCUAAUUAGAUUUCAUCAUUAUUUUUAUGUAUAUUGAUUUUCACCAUGACUUAUACAUACUCAUUUACAUGAUUAUUUUUCUUGGUAUCCACAAUUCCUUUAAUUCGUUUAGUAGAGGUCGUACAUAUACGAGCUUAGAGGGGUGAUAUGACUCAUUACUGUACCUUCCCAAUAAGUAACCUGACUCCCGGACCUAGACUCUGUUUUUCGCAGACCUGUUUUUCCUUCAGGAGUCACAUUUAAAGUUUUUAUUUAUUAUUUUGUUUUUCCCUUAAAAAAUAAAACAAAAAUAAAUGAGAACUCCAAGUCUUUUUCUAAAAAUCAUAAAUUUUUACAAAUUAAAUAAAGAACGAGUCAUGUCGUCGAGUGGGAACACACAUGAAAAAUGCAGGGUCCACACAUUUGUUUUCCAAUUCAUAAUUUUUAUAUUUUCUUUCUUAAAAUUUUUGGUGCAUUUACAUCUUGAGUUUUUAUUUAUUUAGUGUUUGUUGGAAUAUAUUUUUUGUUUUUAAUUUUUGAAACCAUAAAUUUUUAUAUAAAAUAAAAUAUUUUGUAUAAAAGUAUGAAUUUAUUUUAAAUCUUUAAAAAUUAAAAUUUAAAAUUUGAGGUAGUAAAUUUUUUUUUUAAUCCAUUACUUUUUCAGUAUAAAAUUUAAGUUAAUAUUUAUUACUUAAUGAUUUAAGUUGACUUUAAAGUUAAAUAAGUUUAAGUUGUUAAUUUAAAACUUAUUACUUAAUUUUUACUUUAAGUAUUAAGGUUGUUUAAUAAAUUUAAUUUAAAAUUUAUUUUAAAUUAUUAAAUUGAUAUAUUUUUCUUUAUAAAUUAUAAUUAGGAUAAAGAAGGUUGAGUAACAAUAGAGGUACAAAUGAAGAUGUGAAUUUAAGAAUAAAUUAAUUAUUUUUACUUAUUACUUAAACUUAUUUUUUUACUGUAAGUUAUUUUACCAAGCAUACUUAAUUUAUUUAAUGAUUUAAAUUAAAUUAUUAAGUCAUUUUCAAUUAUUAAGUUAAUUUACCUAACACCCGCUCAUUUUUAUUUCAACCUUUUCCUCUCUCCUAUGGUUGUGCCCUUCUCUCUCUCUCUUUAUAUAUAUAUAUAUACUUUUGAAUGCGCCACUAAUGGUGUAUUCAAAAGGCCAUGAAGCAUACGAAAAAAUGGGUUGGGCCGAGGAAGCAAAUUAGAAAAUUGGCCUCUUACCCACUCCAUCGCCAAUUGGGCCUUCCCAAGUCUGUAGUUGCAGAAGAUUGACAACACGUAGGUAUAGUCCAUAAAAAAAUGUGAUGAAUGGAUGAAAAGUAUGAUUUAGUGUACAAAAUGUUAUGAUAAAAAAUAUAUAUAUAUCAAAAAAAAAAAACACGAGCAAAAUAAAAAGAAAAUAUUAUUAAAAUAAAAAAUAAGAAUUGCUUUUGUAAGUAUAAUUGGACCGAAGAUUGGAUAUCUUGGACUAGCCCUUUGAACAAAUCUAAGUCUAGAAUGCAUUUACUAAUAUGAAAAAUUAUUGAACAAGCAAAUGUGUCAUUUAGCAUAUAUAUAAGUAGCGUAACGCAGUGUAUUAAGACCCGGUAAUCUAGGCUGGUCUCUAAAUCUAGUAAGUGAUAGGUGGAAUUUUCGCAUCUAUGUAUGAUUCCACCAUGUUAUUUUAAUAUGAAAAUAAUUAAUUAAAUAGCCAACAAAGAAUGUCUAAAUGGGUCACAUUUGACCAAGUCCUGUCUUUACUUUUUCUAGUUAAUCAAAUGGAAAGUGGAAGCCAAGAUGGAAUGGCCUCCAUUAUAAUUUGGUAAAAUGUCAUGAUUCUCUCACGUUGAGGCCGGGGGGGGGGGGGGGGGGGGGGCCAAAUUUUAAAAAAUUCCCAAACCCCCCCCCCAUAAAAAAUUUUUUUUUUUUUUUUGGGAAUUUUGGUGGGGAAAAAAAAGGUUUUUUUUUUAUUUAAAAAGGGGAAAAACCCUUUUUAAAAUUUCCCCCAAAAAAAUUUUUAAAAACCCCUUUAAUUUUUUAAAAAAUUUAAUUUUUUUUGGCCCCUUUUAAAUUUUUUUUUAAAAAAAAAGGGCAAUUUUUUCAAAAAAUUUUUUUUUUGGACCCUUAUCCUAAAAAAAAAUAAAAAACCCCACCCCCCCCCCUUUUUAAAAAAAAACUUUUUUAAAAAAGGGGNNNNNNNNNNNNNNNNNNNNNNNNNNNNNNNNNNNNNNNNNNNNNNNNNNNNNNNNNNNNNNNNNNNNNNNNNNNNNNNNNNNNNNNNNNNNNNNNNNNNGGAAAUUGCUCGAGAUGAGUGGGAAUAAUUAAUAGAUAGUAUGAAACUUGAGAUAGUUUAGGACCAAAAAUAUGGCACCACCAUGGAGUCUUAGGGAAUUUUGGCUGGGAUAUGGCAGCAUUAAUGGGAAUUCAAGAUUUGGGAAGGCAGUAUGGAAAUAUGAUCCAACACAAGUUUCUGUAGAUGUGGAGCUCAAACUAAUAGUCUUCAUGGUGGGCAAGUUGGCUAUGAUGUUGAAUUGUUGCAGUCCAUUGUGAAUAGACACGUGUUGCAUGGGGGGGGGGGGGGGGGGGGCCAAAUUUGAGACGAUUCACAAACACAACACCAAUUAAAUACUUUUUUUCUUUUUUAGUGAAUUUGAGUUGAGUAUAAAAAGGUUUUUUAUUAUAUUAGAAAUGGUAGAAACGCUUUCUAAAAUUACUCUCAAACGAACUUUUAAUAAUCUCAUUAUAUUUUUAAAUAAUUUAAUUGUAUUUGACUCAUUUUAAAUUUGUUUUUAAAUAAAUAGGUCAAUUGAUUCAUAAAUAUGUUUUAUUGAGACCUUAAUCAUAUAGAUAUAUACAAUACCUAACUCAACCUGCUUAUUAAAUAUGACUUGAUUAUUAAAUGGGUUACACAAUGUGUUACCUGUUUAAUGAUUAAGUAGUAUUUAAAUUUAUGUUUUUUAUAUGAUUGUUAUUCGUAUCAAGUUUGGGUUGAAUUAUGCAAUAGAAUACUUAGAUUUUGACACAACCCACUAAUACAAAUUAUCACCCUAAUCACAUAUAUAUUUACUUUGAUCAAAGAUUAUAAAGUUUGAUACGAUUUACUUACACGACUUGAAUCAAAUAUGUUUUUUAUAAGUUUAAAUCGAGUAUAAUUGCAUUUUGAUCAAAUUUAUAUCAAUUUAACUCGUUUAAUAAACAAGUUUAUUUUUAAUUAAUUAAUAUAAUACAAAUUUAAUUCGAAUUAAUUUAUUUAAUAAUCUCACUAAUUAACUCAAUUAUAAUCAUAAUUUAUUUAACUCACAUUUAACUUAUUUUAAAUGUACUUUUUAAUGAAUUGAAUUAUAAAUAUAUCAAAUUAAUAAAUUAAACAUAUCACUCAAACAAAAUCUAAUUCAAUUAUUAAAUAGGUUAUACAAGGAAUUAGCUUUUCGAUACAUAAAACAUGUUUAUGCUCAUCUUUUUAAUUUGACAAUGAUUGAUCUUUUUAAUCAAGUGAUUUAGGUAUUCUAACAUAUUUCAUAUGUGGGGGCUCAUCUUUUUUAAGAGAGAUUCAAACCACAAGCUUAAUACACUUUUGAAAAGGCGAUCUACCGCGGGAUAUAGGAUGGGAAGAUUAUCCUAAUCCAAGUGUUACAGGUCAUUUUUCUUCAUUCUGCCAUGAAAGUGGGGCCACGGUUUGUCGCCUGGGCCCUCUCAGACUUUAAUGCUCUGUUUUAUGUGUGACAAGAGGAUGGCGCCAUGGCCUGAUGGCCUGAUGGCCUCACGGCCUCAUGGGCCCUGCAAAUUUGGUCAUUUUAAUUUUCACUAAAAUAAGUUAAGACUCGUUAGAGUUUACUUGGGUUGAUUGAAUGUUCUACUGGAUUGGAUUGGAAUGGAAUAUGAUACUUUGUCAUGUUCUUUUUGUGAUUUCUUUGAUAGAUUCAUAUUCUCCAUGGCUUUUCUUUUACACCAACUAUAUUCCCCUUAUACCCUUGCUCAUAUCUUUAUAUUUUAAUUAUUUUUUAAUUUUAUUUUACAUAUGGGAGUGUCCAUUCUUAAUCAUAUGUUUUUAUUAUUAUUUUAUUAGCAUGUAAGUAGAAUUCAAUUGGUUUGAAUUAACAUGUAGAAGCCAAAAACUCUUUUCAAUUUAAAAUUUAUUAAAUCAGUAUUAUCUUCGUCAAUUUAAAAUAAAUAUAUGUUAAUUUUUUGGUAUGUUUUGAACGAGUCAAAACCCGUUUUUCCCUUUAGAACUUUGGAGGCAGCUAGGCGUGUGAAUGUGUGAGGAGGCGGACCAAUGAUUGUGUUCAUUAAAAUUUUAUAUAUCGGGUCCAUUCUGGCUGUGGGAGGCCACAUCACAAUAAUAUUGUGAAAGUCACAGAUCAUCUUACCUUGAUUAAAAUAGAAAGGGGUUUACACGUCAUCCUGCCACAAAUAUUUUUUUAUAAUUUACUUGGUGAAUGCACCCGGCGGUGACCACACUGUACACUGUAUAGUCCACUAAUACAUAAAUUUGAACAAACCUUGCCCAUCAUUAUUUUCUCCAUAUGGUAAGUACUAAUUCAUUCAAUGGUUGGACUCCAGCAGGCAGCCCAACGAUAAUCAACGCUCUAAAAUUUGACCGUAUUUUAAAAUUAAAAAGUGUUUUUUAAAAUAAAAAUGUUUUUACACUUUCUUUAUACUUGAAAAAAAAAAUUAACUAUAAAAAAGAUUAGAAAGACUUUUUAAAGUUAUUAUCAAACGGAUUUUAAAUGUGUGAAAAAAAAUGUAAAAAAUAUUUAAUAAUAGUGUAUUUAAUAAUAAUUUUAUUAAACGUUUUUAAUAUUUAUAACACUUGAAAUUUUUUUAAUAUUUUUAAUAUUAAAAAAAUAAAAAAUUUCAAAUAUUAAAAGUGUUAAAAACACUUCAUAAAAUUACUAUCAAAUAAACUUUUAAAACAUGUUUGAUAGUAAUUUUAGGAAGUGUUUCUAAUAUUUAUAAUAUAUAAAAGAUUAAAAAAAAAAUUAACAUAAAAAAAGUUAAAAAUACUUUUUAUAAUUACUACUAAACACAUUUUUAAUUUUUGUUCAAAAAUAUUUUUUAUGUUAAAAAUAUUUCAUAAAAUUACUGUUAUACGGUUAGUGUUUCUUUAAAAAACACUAUAAGUGAAUUUUUAACAUUAUAAAUAAUUUUUCAGAUUUUUAAAAAUGCUUCCUAAAUUUUGUUAUAUAUUUAUUAUUAUUAUUAUUAUUAUUAUUAUUAUUUAAAUAUUUUUUAAAUUAAAAAUAUUUUCUAAAAUUAUUAUCAAACCGUAUUCUAAACAUUUUCUUAAUAUAAAAAAAUAAUGAUUAAAAAUAAAAUGAAACACUAUAUCAUAUCAAAAUAAUAAUGAAUGGGAAAUAAAAUGAAUUUUCCAUUUUUCUUUACGUGUUGUAAUAUCAUGAAAUUGCCCUCAUUGCAAGUGUUUAAAAUUUAGAAGGAGAGAGGAAAGGGAAGUAACCGUGAAAAAGCAGGGGAUUCCUUACACGCUAAUUAGAGCUGAUCUGUUACAAAAAUCCGGCAGAAUGUCUUUUUCUCCCUUUUUCCGUUGCAUGAAAAAAAGAAAUCCGGUGAAACCGCUGGAAAGGAAAGGGGAAAAGAAAGAAAGGAAGAAAAAAAAAAAAAAAAAAAAAGAGACGCGUGUUGCCUUAUUAAAGGACAAGGAUUUGGCAUUCGCCUCUCUAAAAUUCACACCGACUCCCAAUUUUCAUUAGUCCACCUCUACUUCCCUUACACGUGCCUAUAUAUUUUAAAGUUAAGCUGGGUGUGAACCCACCAACACAUGUUCAUACCAAUCCAUUUUCUGUAAAGCCCUUCCUACAAUUAGCUCUAAGUCUGCCUGCAUGAUUCCACGUGUUCCAUGCAUGUCUACCAGUUCAACAUGUGAUGGUUGCCAUGCUUUUACCAAUAAUUUUACAAAAAGGGAAAAAGAAAAUCCCAUUUUAAGAUGACUAGUGAAUAGUCUUCUCAUGCAACUGUCGGCUAUUAGACAGUGUCAAAAAGGCAAAAAAUUUAUAGAAUCUUAUCCUUAGAAGGUGCGCCUGGGCUCACCGCUUUCUGGUGAAUCUUGUGUAACGGACGAUCUGUGAUUCUGUAGCCGCUGGCCGAAAGUUUUUGCACUUUUUUGCAUCCAAAAAUAAAAUAAAAUGAAAUUAGUUACCUUACAAAUCUUUAUGGAUAGAGAGUCAAGUCAAAAGUCUUUUCUUUCAUUUAAUAUAUAUUUUUUCCUCUAAGUAUUUUCUUCUCCGUUUUGUCGCCUUCAAAGCAUCCUUUCACAUUGGGACAUGACGUUUUAAGCCAUCUCGGUUUGAGGGUAGAAUAAGCUUUAAGUUGCUCAAAACUUAAAAGUGUUAAUUAAUACUUUAAUUUCAGAAACUUUCUUUUCUUUUUUGAUGGAUUAAAAUAUUAAUUUUCAGUUUUGAUAUCAACAAAAAGGAGAAUAAUUUUUUUUUUUUUUUUUUUUUUUGGGGUUGGAAAAUUAUAGCACUGGUUAUGAAAGUGUGAAUUAAUUUUGAAAGAGACUUUUGAGCAACCGGUAAAGCCGAAAGAGAUAAGGGUGGUUUUGUCAUCCUCCGAGUCCCAACUACUAAUCUACAUGCAUUUGGAAUGGAAGGGGAUGGACAGCAGACGCAUGUAUUUAAUUUGCAGUGUGGAUACGUAGAGGAUAACUUCCACCUUCGGAUUUGACCAAAGGGAACGUGACCUGGUCAACACUCGACUCCUACGUCUGUCUACCUGCAUAGAUAGAUACCCCACUCUUGUUUGGGAGAUGCACAACAUUGUUCCAUUUCCAAUUAUUUUGACUCUCUAAUAAGAUUUGAUUAUGCUAAAAAUCAAAAUUAGUAUUGGAGGUACCAAAACUUUUACGCUAUGUAAAGUUUUGGAAAGUUUAAAGAGAAAUAAAAGGAAAAUAAAAUAAAAAAAAUGAAGAAAAAUAAAAAAUUGAUUUAAAAUCAAUAAAUUAUUUUUAUAUACGAUUUUAAAUUCAUUUUUUAAAUAUUAAAUAACUUAAAAAUGUAUAAAUUUUUAAUUAAUUGUAAUUAUUUUUUUUCUAUUUUUUAUAGUGAAAUCAAAUAUGAAAAAAUUAUUUUACUUAAUUUUUUUUUUUUUAAUAAUUUCUAAAAACCAAAGAUAGUCUUAUAAAAUAAUAUGCUAAAGAUUAAAAAAAUUAUUAUAUUAAUGAAGUUAUUAAUUUAUCAAUAAUUGAAUGAUUUAUUAAUUUAUCAAAUUAAUGAAUGUUUAUUAAUUUAGAGAGAAUAUUAUAUUUAUAGUAAAGAGUAAUUAUAUAUGUAUGACUUAUGAAUUUAAAAACAGUAGAUAUGAUAAAAAAAAAAUAAUAUAUUGAAAUUUAAGAUAUUUUAAAAAAGAAAAUAUGAUUAUAAAAUUAUAAGAGAGGAAAACUUUUAAAAGAAAAUGACACAAUUGCAUAACUUAAUGUCGUAAAGGAUAAAGAUGUUUUUUAUGGUUUGAAGAAAGAAAUAUGUAUAAUUAGAAUAAAAAAGACGAGACAAAAUAAUACUUGAACUUGUCUUAAAUCCAUCUCCCGUUUGAAAAAAAAUUUCAAAAGCCCUAACUUAUUCCUAACUUACUUAUUUUAAUUAUAAACCCAUCCCAUUAAAUGUUAAACAAAUAUCCGAAAAACUCAUCUCAUUCUUAUCACUAACAAAUGCCCAAAUUGAACGUGUAAUAAUCAAUAGCGGAGUUAGGAAGUUCAAAUGGGUAUCAUAUUUGGGUGAUAUUGUAGAAGAUUGAAUGAGCUUUCCACAUCAAAAUCUAAAAAGUCCAUGUACUAGUUGCAUUGGGAAAUUGAAUAAUGAAUACUUCGACCAAUAUUAUUUCGUUUUACCUACGGAAAGGGGUGGAACAUGACCGGCCCGCCCGUUCCCUCUACAUCCUCCGUCCACAUUGAGGCUCCUUAUCCCAAUAUCAUAUCAGUUGAAAUAUCCACAGAUAAUUUAAUUAUUUACGCCAACACUCUUAGAAAUUAGAACCAACCCAAGAUUUGAAAGUAUAGACAUCCUACUACUAAAGCCAGUUCCCAUUGGGCAAGGGGGUGCCGAUAUCCAUCUACUUUUCAAAAUCAAAAGCCGAAAAGCUGAAAUGAAAGCAUUUUGAAAUUUGAUUGGUGCUUUUGAAAAUAUUCAUCAUAAGCCCAAUGAUCCAUUUUCUCCACGUGGACAAUGCAUGAAAAAUAAAAAUCAGCGUAUCACCCAAUUCCUUGGUGCCUCGAUUUCUGGGUUGAUCAAACAAGGAUUAGAACGGAAUCAUUAAUAAGAACUGGAAGGGAAAAUUAUGGGGACUUUCCGACAAUUUUUUUUUUUUUAAAAAAAAAAAAAAAACUAUUCUUGUUGUGGAAUUUCGCACAUGCCUAAAGAGAGGCAAUAAAAGUCAUUGGAUACUUUUCAUUUUUAGUGAGAUUGACCAGGUGUGAAAACCCGACAGCAGCAAAAUUUGUUUUAGAAAACAAUUUUGAAAAAAAUGCUUUUCUUUUUAAAUAGUUAUAAAUUAUUUUUAAAAAGCAAAUUUUAAAAACAGUUUUAAAACAUGUCUUUCUUUCUUGAGAGGAUUUUUUUGUUACCCGUAUAUAGCAAAACGUAGCUACAUACUGCCUCGAAGAUAAUGUGUGCCUUCCACGUUUUCAAAUCGUACAAGUAAAAGUAAAAACACGAGCCGUAUCGCAUGACUCUUCCGACACAUUAAAAUAUUAAAAUAUUGUAAUUUUUCCACACGAGUGAAACACAUUUUGGCAUUUUCAAAUUAAUAUGUUUAGAAAAGUAAUUUUAAAAAUAUUAUUUUUAAAGAUAUUUAGCGAAAUUUAAGAAUAUUUGAUUUACAAGAAUGAUAAUGGAGGGAAUCAACGAAGUGACGAAGAAGGGAGGAUUUUCCAGGUUUUUAACUAAAAAUAAUAAGGGGUGUGAUCUUGGACUUAAAUUUGGAAAAAGAAAAAAAAUUGUCCUCUUUAAUAAUUUCCGUCCAAAAAAAAAUAUAGCGGGGAGCUUUUGAACCCCCCUUCCUCCCCCUCUCUCUCUCCUUCUCUCUCUCUCAAUCUUCAAAAGUCUCUUUUGACCACCACCAGACCACCAUCACCUUCUUCUCUUCUUCCUCUCAUCUGCUGUAGACUUUCCUCACAUGAUCUCAUUGUUAUCUCUCUUCUGGGUAUGUGUUAUGGUGGUGAGCUAGUAUUUAUUGAAAUUUUGGAUGGUUUUGAUCUGUGAAAAUCUUUGAGGGAAAACAUGGGGGCGUGCCUCUCCGCCACCAAAGUCAGAAGCUCCAACAGCAACACCACCGCAAACGCCGCAGCCACCAAGAAUACCCGCCCUAGAGGGAGCUCCAAGACUAGCAAUAAGAAUCAGCAGAAGAAGCCGCAGGAGGGAGACAGGAAUCGGUCAAAUCAACAACACAGGAAUCCUCAGCCGCAGAAGGUCAAGGAUAGGGCCAAUGGGAGGAGGGGGACUGGGAUUAUCCCUUGUGGGAAGCGCACCGAUUUUGGGUACGCGAAGGAUUUUGAUGCUCGCUACACCAUCGGCAAGUUGUUGGGCCACGGCCAAUUUGGGUAUACGUAUGUCGCCACCGAUAAGGCUAAUGGGGAUCGAGUUGCGGUUAAGAGAAUUGAGAAGAAUAAGGUCUGGUUUGGUUCCUUUUUCUUCUUCAUCUUCUUCAUCCAAUUGGGUUUUGUAUUUUUCGGUUGACUUCGUUGGAGAUUUUGUGAACUUUAUAGCCUGAAUUUGAUGAUAAAAUGGGUUAAUCAGAAAAUUUUCCUUUUUAUCGGGUGAUUUGGUUUCAUUGAGGUCUUCUCUAGUCAAUUGGGGAGGGAAAAUAUUAGGAUUUUGUCAUAAUGGAACUGAUCUUGAUCGCUUAAUCUUUGAAGGGUAAUUUGCUUUCCAUGUACAUAUAAUUUUCUUUCGCUAAUCAAACUUCAUAGUCAGGUAACCUUUCUUCAAAAUUGGUGUGUAGAUCACUUCGGUUGGGUGGUUUUUUCUGUUUUUCCCAAAUUUUAAAUGAUACACUGUUCCAGUGUUCCUGUUUGGUUCAAGUUAUAUUUCUGGAAAUUUGGUUUUAAUUUAGACACCUGCUGAGCUGAUGGAGGAUGUACUGUGCUUGUUUUUAUCCAAUUCUCCUGCAUUUUGAGAACUGUUUCUUCAGUAGGCCUUACUGGAUCUCAUAGGGUUCGUGGCCUAGAUCUCAAUAUAAUAGCCAUAUGGGGAUUCCUUGUAUGUUGGAGACAGCAGACAAUUCCGAUAACAGCACAGACACUGGUAGUCAAAUAUAGGUUCUCAGAUGUCAACAAUGGGUACAAGACUCGAUAUUUCUCGAGAUUUUAAGGAGCUCCCUUGUUUUGUGCUUGGGUUUUUUAUUUUUUUAUUUUUUUUAACUUAUUUAUUUAUAUAUUUUAAUUUCAUGUUUUUCUUCUCUUGGGUUUCUCUGAUGAACAUGAAUUUGUUAAUCACAUACAGAACAAUUAAUUGUAACUGAGAAAGAAAUUUCCAAAUUUGUUCCUUGAUAUCUUCACCUCCUGUUUAGUAUCCUCAAAAUAUAUCCCGUUAAGGAAUCUUUAGUUCUAUCAUUAUAAUUGAUAUGGGUUAUUGAUAUGAUAAAGAUAUGAAAUCUUUAAAAUGGGGCAAAGAAUGUUUUGUUUAGUUUCUGUUCAAUUUUUUGACAUUUCUAUGCAUUUUUGUUGUUAUCAUGUUUACAGCAAAUGGUUUUAUUUGAUGGCAGAUGAUUCUUCCUAUUGCUGUUGAAGACGUUAAGCGAGAGGUCAAAAUAUUAGAAGCGCUUACCGGCCAUGAGAAUGUGGUUCAGUUCCAUAAUGCAUUUGAGGAUGAUUCUUAUGUCUAUAUAGUUAUGGAGUAUGUUUUGUGAUUUGAAGCUUCUUACUAAAAUCGUUCUUUGGCUAAUUGUCUGUGCCAUUCAUUUGAUUGCUUUGUGUGCUAUUAAUUUAUCUAUUCUUUUGUUAAUUCUCUGUAUUGGCAGUACAUUUAUUUCUCUCUUCUGUCUACUUAUCCUUUUUUUUUUUUUCACAAAAUUAUUGUCUGUUAUAUCACUACCAACAUUUUCCUGAAUGUGGUUUCUUAAUAUCUCUUAUUAGGUUAUGUGAGGGUGGUGAAUUGUUGGAUCGGAUAUUGGCCAAGUAAGAAUCUUCAACUCUUGGAUAUAAUUUUAUUGUUCCUGGGGUAAAAUGGAUUCUCUGUGGUGCAUCUUUGGCCACAUCUUUGUGGCUAAAUUUUGAUUAUAGUUCUUCUCAAUAACAGCAGAAUUGUCAUUCUAUUAUACAGUUAUCUUUAGGACAUUAUUAUUUAAUACAGUGUUACUUAUCUUUGCUUUGUUUCUUUGAUCAGGAAGGAUAGCCGUUAUAGUGAGAAAGAUGCAGCAAAAGUUGUAAGGCAGAUGCUCAAAGUUGCAGCUGAGUGUCAUUUACAUGGUCUGGUACACCGUGACAUGAAACCAGAGGUAUAAUGAAGUUUGCUGGCACACAUCAAAAUUUUGGCUUUAAUUUGUAGCCAUUAUGCCUAAUGGUGCUUCCCUUACAUUUUUUUAUCGCAUGUAGAAUUUUCUUUUCAAGUCAACCAAAGAGGACUCGCCUUUGAAGGCCACGGAUUUUGGUCUAUCAGACUUCAUAAAGCCUGGUAAGUGAAAUUUCGCCUUCUCAAUAUAUGGACUUUGAAAUCCAUAUUUUCAUGGGUUUCUGUUGUUCAAACAAUUACAACAUAUGCUUCUAGCUUUUGAAUUGGAAAAACUGAAUAUGAAUAAACACAGGGAAGAAGUUUCAAGAUAUUGUUGGUAGUGCCUACUAUGUUGCUCCUGAAGUAUUGAGACGGAAAUCGGGACCUGAAUCAGAUGUCUGGAGUAUUGGUGUCAUUACCUACAUUUUGCUCUGUGGGAAGCGCCCCUUCUGGGAUAAGACUGAGGAUGGAAUUUUCAAGGAGGUGCGGUGCAUUCUUAAUUUUGGAUACUGACUAUCUUUUUUCCUGUUUUCCCUGGGACUAAUACUGGUUGUUUUACUUUUUCUUUAAUUUGGUAUAAAGUUGCAUGUACAUUAUAGGCUUGUACCAAUCUUUGCCUCACAUGUUAAUUUGUUCACAAAAUUACCUCUUUUUUCAGCCAACAAUUAUCUUUCACUAUUUACGCUCAAACUUUUAGCUUCGGUACAUUUUGUAUGAAAGGAAAAUUAGACCAGCACCAUUACAAAGGUUUUUUGUUUCCAUUUUCUCCAUUCAUUUCCUGAGCCAUGUUACGUUCGUCGAUGAAAUCUUUCUUGAGUGUUUUUCCCCCUCUAUAUUGGAUGUUCUGUUGUGCUUGUAUUUUUUCUCUUCCUGAGUAUGCUUAUUGGUCUGCCUAACAUCCAGGUCCUUAAGAACAAGCCUGAUUUUCGCCGCAAACCAUGGCCAACCAUAAGCAAUGGUGCUAAAGAUUUUGUAAAGAAGUUACUAGUGAAAGACCCUCGGGCAAGACUUACUGCUGCUCAGGCCCUAUGUGAGUAUCCAGUUCUUCUCCUGGAGAAUAUAAAUGAUGAUUAUUACAGUCUACUGGAAAUUGGAACAUGUGUCUUAACAAAAUACUUCUUGUGUUGGUUACUGAAGUUUUUAUCAAGGCUGCUUUCUUUCAAAGUUCUUUCAUUAUGGUUAUUAUAUGUGAUCUAUGUUGGACUGUUAUGGUUUGCCUCUAUGUUUUUUGCCUUCUGUGUUUGAUUUAGCAUCCUGACUGGGAAUAACUUUUUCAGCACAUCCAUGGGUUAGAGAAGGAGGAGAUGCCUCUGAGAUUCCGAUUGAUAUUUCUGUUCUGUCCAACAUGCGUGAAUUUGUCAAGUACAGUCACUUGAAACAGUUUGCUUUAAGGGUAUGGUUUUCUUUGUGAGAUCUUUGUGGCAGAAUAUACAUAAUUGUUUUCAUUACUGGUCAAAAAAUGAUGUCUCCUGCUAUAGGCAUUGGCGAGCACGCUUGAUGAUGAGGAACUGGCUGAUCUUAGGGAUCAAUUUGAUGCUAUCGAUGUGGAUAAAAAUGGCUCUAUUAGCCUUGAAGAAAUGAGACAGGUUUUUUUUUUUCUUUCUAAUUCUACUUUUGUUUCUCAAGCCUAGGAUGUUGCAACUCUACAAUUUAAUAUCCAUCCUUGAACAAAUGUCAGUUUCAUAUGAACAGGGACUUCUUUUUCCAUUUUUUCAUAACAGAGAUGUUUCCUAUACAGGCCCUUGCUAAAGAUCUUCCUUGGAAGAUGAAGGAAUCACGAGUUUUAGAGAUUCUUCAAGCAGUAAGUAUAUAUUUUCCAGAAAAAGAAACUUCCAGUUGGUCAGUUGAUUAUUCAUUUCAUCCUUGCAAUUUUCAUCUAUAAUGUUAUAGAGUUUUCUCCAUUUUCCCCCACUAGAAAAAAAAAAGGAAGAAUCAUUGGAGGGUGAUCAUUAGCGUUAUUUAGAACUCCUAGAGAAACCAACAUUUCUGGAACACCCUACUCCACAUUUGGCAACUUGACAAAUGUUCAUCACCCUACUUCCCUCUUUAUGUUGUGGAUAUUUUUUCCUUUCUAUGGUCUGGUAUCCUAAUGGGAGCUACCAUUUGCCUGAGGCAGAUUGACAGCAAUACAGAUGGGCUUGUGGAUUUUACCGAGUUUGUUGCAGCCACUCUACACGUGCAUCAAUUGGAGGAACAUGACUCUGAUAAGUGGCGACAGCGGUCACAGGCUGCUUUUGACAAAUUUGAUGUGGAUAGGGAUGGGUUCAUAACCCCAGAGGAACUUAAACUGGUGAGUUUUAUACCUUAUAUUGAAUCUCCAACCACCCAGCCCAAUCCUGCACUCACACUGUUCAAGGGUUUAAUUCCUUUUUUAGUAAUUAGUACAUUCUGAUUGGCUGAACACAAGAGACAAGGUCCAGAUUUUGGCUGAGAUCCAGCCACUAACGAUCCACCACAUGAUUUUAACAAUUGUUUCUUGUAAAAAAUAAGAAAUUUGUGGUGAGAUUUUGGUGUUAGUAGUUUUCUAAGCCAUUAUUUUUGUGGGAGUGAUAUCCCAAUAAUUCUGUUCUCCCGUGCCAGUGAAAAUCUAUGCCCAUUAAAUCUUGCAAAGAAAUAGGCCAUGAAAGCUAAGCAAAAAGGUUAUAUGCUUUGCUUUCAAAUCAUGCUGGACUUUUGGAACCUGGAUUGCAUCAUUCAAUUGGACCAUGGGCACCGAUCAGUCUACCUGGGUUUCAGGUUUUUGGUUGACUUGUUUUGGUCAAAGACAGACUACAUAUAAACUACUAUUAAUAAUGUAUCCCUAUCAAAGCAUACCAUACGUGAAUUAUAGGUUCAUGCCAACGACAUUAGAAUAUAUAGGUUUUCCUCUAUAGACUUUCCUGGUACUAUUUUUAUCAUAUUUACAUAUAUUUUCAGUAUGAUCUAUAAAUAUUUAUUGACUAGGAUAUCUUCACUUGAAAAUGGAAGAAUCAAAACCCAGAUACUUAAAUAGUUGAACACUUGAUAUGGGAUGUCAGUCACUCAUCAGUAUAUUUGAUGUGCUAAAUAAUGCUUGGAAGUGUUAUAGUAGUCCUGUCAUCCUGUUUUGGCAAUAUGAAAACUUUACUAGCUGGGAGCUGGUGAGUGAUUGCUGGCCCGUUUUCCCUGGGGUGAAACCCCAUCUUGUGUUUUUCCUGUAGACAGCUUCAUGUGCUUGGUUUUUGUGAUCUUAUUAUUUUUUGACAUAAAGACACGGCCUGACCAGAGAUUGCUUCAUUUUUGCUGUGUAGCACACGGGCUUAAGAGGCUCAAUUGACCCACUGCUAGAGGAAGCUGAUAUUGACAAAGAUGGGAGGAUAAGCUUGGCAGAAUUCCGAAGGCUUCUAAGAACAGCAAGUAUUAGUUCGCGACAAGUACCUAGCUCAUCUGGUUUUCGGAAUCCUCGGAAAAUUUAGAUGUUAGUGGGUUUUUUUAAGGUUGGGAGAGAAGAAAGGGGCGAAUAGAGGUGGGAGAGUGCACUUUUGUGGUUUGUUUUCUCAGAUUUACGUCAUUUGAAAAUUGUAAUCGAUCCUGUAUGUGCCCUUAUCUGCGUCUGUCUUGAUAACAAUCCUGAAGAGCCUGUUUGGAAACUCAAGUAAUCACUGAUGGGAAUCCGCAAAGGCCUCAAGAACACAAAGGGUGUUUAUGAGUUGGUAUGACUUCCACUUCCAUGCAUGUGGCUCCUCUACCACGAUGGCUUAAAAUGUUUACACUAGUGUACAUCCUUCUUACCGUCAGGGGUUAUUUGCUUGUGCCCUACAAAAUGUUAAACGUGUGACUAAAUAAAUUAUUAAAGAAAAUUUGUUGUAUUAGAAUUCAUUUUAUGUACUUCCAUAUUCUGAUCUCAAACCCAGCUUAUCCGAGCAAAAUUGGCAUAAUAAUCCCCAUUAUUUGAUUUGGGCUUGUUGACGGAACUGAAAAUAAGGUAUCUGGAUUGAUUUUAAAAGUUGUCAAAUGGCCAAAUGGUUUCUGAACAGAAGAAAGCCUUCCUACUUGUUUUGUUUUGUCCUUUUUUCCAGGCUCGGAGAGUAAAAACAGAAAACCAACACCUCGGUAACCCAAGUGGGAAAAUUCAUGAGAGGUAAACGACCGUGGGCAUUGUCAACUGAACCAAGAAAUUUACAACUGAUAAGUUUUACGUGUUAGAGAGCUGGGCACCUUCGACAUACAUAAUUUACAAAUGGAUGAAUCCAACCUGACCAACUAUUGUAAUUUUCAACUAGCAGUCUCUCAACCUUAUAGGGGGGUGAAGGCAGACUGAAGAUAUUUUGUUUCUAUUCAGUUCCAAUCAAAACGGGGAACACCAUCUGCCCUAGUCCUCCUUGAUGCCAAGAUAAACCAAGUAGCAACGUAUUUCCCUUUUAUCCCUUAGUAGCACAACAAUCUCCUCUCUUCUAUAGUAGAGACCCCAUUAGGAGGGACAUUGGAAUUUAGGGCAGUUGUACCCAAAUCCAGAGUGCUAGUACCAGUUUGUCACAACAAAUCAAAUGCUACCUUGAGAGGUUAGCAGUUGGAGAUGGUCCAUGGCACAUUCAACCAGAAAUUACUUAUCAGAUUUUGGGAGGUCACCCACACUGUUGGAGGAGCUGUCCUGGAGAGCUUGAGAAGAAGAAUACUUGCUUGAACAGCUUCCAUCUGUAGCACUUCUUUCCUUCCUUUGUGAUUGUUUGCCCUUCUUUUCCCCUGUCAGCAAAUCCUGCACAAACACAAAAUUCAGUUAUAUUUUCUAUCUUUAAUGUGCUUGGAGUUUCUGCAAUGGGUUCCUGUUACAGAUCAAGCGAAAUCUAACCUGUUGUGAUGAUGAUCCAGGUGUCUUUAGUUCAAGGUCUGUUGCCACAUCAUUAGAUUCAUCGCAUUUUUCAGUGUUGCUGCUCCUUUCACGAUCUGAUGACUUGCUUUUGGAAUCUGGUUUGCUUGACACAUGAGAAGCAGAUGCAUAUUGGGCAGAUGGAACUUCAGUAGGAGGAUUAGCAGGAGUUUGAUAUGGAAUAAAAGUUGAACAGGGAUUGGGGAUUCCACUAGGAUUCUGAUUUCCAAAGAAAGGAAAUGGCUGUAGAGAUGGAUGCAUGGGAAUUGGACCAGAAGGAACAGGCACAGGAACUGGAUAAGAAUAGGGUGAAGGACCCAUGACAACAGAAGGAUCGAUUGGAGCCCAUGGAAACAUGACCCUGAGCCUUUGCUGAUAUUGAACAUUAAGAUUGUCAAUAUCAGACUUUAGAGCUACCUUUUCUUCUCUUAGUUCAUUCUUCUCCUGCACUAGCUGAUUGUAAUAAAAAGAGAACAUUAGCAACUGAUGAGGCAGGUGACCAAAUGGGCCAAUAAAAUUGGGAAAAAACAUUAAAGAAAUACCACCUCACGAGAUUCUUCAGAAAGUGCAGCACACUCAACUUUUAGUCUGUUGACUUCAGCAGUCAAAUCCUUCAGCAUUUGAAUUGUAUCUGCAAGGAUGGUUGCCUUGUCAUUCUUGGGCCUAUCUGGGUCUGCAUUUGAACUUUCUGUUAGUUAAAUAAAAGCACUUUAAACUUUCUAAGGAAGGAUUAUGAAUAGCAACAGUUGAGGAACACAACUGUACAAUGAUAAUACUCAUGUUUCGUAGGCCAAACAAAUGAUCUAGCAAGUGCUGGAGGGAUGAUCUGACAACAGAUAAGCAAACACAAGCUCUGAAUAAAAUGAACACAAUAAACAGACACCUGGUUUACAUCUCUUAGUUAUCAAUCAUAAAUUGGUGGUACCAAAUAAGGCAGAUGCACUUAUGCACAUUGAUAAUGUUCACAAUGACUGUAAACACAGUCCAUAAUACAAGAUGAAUGGAUCUUUACUUGAAAUUUCUAUGGUCAAGGAAAUGAACAAAACUAACUAGUUUAAAGAACCUAUUAGGAUCAGAAAAAACAAGACAAUUUGAAGAGAAUGACAGGGACUUGAAAAAAUGGAUCCUGGAAAUCAGGGAAUUUUCUCAGGUGAUGAUCAGCUAGUCACAUUUAGCAGAAUAAUAUAUAAUUCAGACAAGAUAAUAAAAGGUGAUGAUGGCCAAGCUACUAACCCAUGAGGGCAACUAGAGAUCUAAAGCCAAACAUGGUUGACAUAAAGGAAACUGUAAAGCAGAAGGAAGUUGAAUUUGAAGAGAUUCUAAGAAAAAGUUGCAACCUCUCUUCCUUAUGGUUAAACCCAAGACUGCAACACCACCAAGUGUCAGGAGACAAAGUGGAACUGGGAACAGAACCAAAAGCAUUAUAAUAAACGCAUUAAAAGGAAGAAAAAGGGCUCAAUGCAAUCUUAGAGCAGAGUUUGAAUUGCUGUUCUGGAGAAACACAAUAGUCAGGAUGCACUCUUUUAAACCACCGUCUAAGGGUAAUAAAAAAAAUGACACAAUAGCGCAUCAGCACAAGAUUGUAACAAAAAAGCUUUACUCAUUCAAACACCAAUAAGAAAGAGUACAUGUGAUCAUUAAGUAUUAUUCCUACAUCUGCUUUCUUGUUGAACCAGUCUGAAGUUAACAUGAAUUUUUGAACUGUUUACCUCCCUUGUAUUUGUAAGAUAAAUAAUCAAUUGGCCUUAUGUCUUCCCAACUUCAAAUUGCAUUGCUCCUCCUUAGGGUAAGACCAUAUUUAUCAUCUCAUAAUUGCAUGAGAACCUUUACAUAUGUAUAUGUUUCAUGCUUAAAAUGGCACAAACAUCUCAAUCAAAUGAAACCAACAUCUCAAUAUCCUUCAUAAAGAGCCCAAUCCAACCCUUACAUUCAAACAGAGAGCUUCCUCCCCUAGGUCACUGGUGAGUCUAAUUACAGUAUGGAGCAGUUACCUAAUGUGUUUCCCAACUCAAGAAAAUGCUCAUUCAGUCUGUCCCUCCUUAACUUUUCACGGUCUGCCUUCUGAACUUUUCUUGCUGCAAUUGAAUCCUUUGCUUCCACUUCAGUUCUUUGUCUGCAAACCCCAAAUAAAGAGAUUUAAAAAACCAAAAAAAAAAACACGGAAAAGCAUUAAGCGGCAUAGUAAAGAAAUAGCAAAUUAUUCUUCCUAAUCCACUAAAAAAACACAAAAAUUGCAAACCCAAGUAGGGUUACAAUUUGCUGGGGUUUUCUUUUUGCCUUUUUUCGAAGAAAAUGUAGAACUUCCAAAUUCUAAUUAAACUAUGUCCCAAACACAACAAAGUUACAUUUCAUAAAUGUCAACACAAACAUCCAAUGUAAUAAGAAUAAAGCUACAGACACAAACUGGCUCUUGGACAAGCUUCUAGUCUCUCUAGUCCCGUCAUAAUGCUCACGUUACCCAUGUAAAAUCAAAAUUCACUAACAUUCUUCACUUGAGCACUUGUAAUUCCUAAAAUCCAACCUAAUCUCCUGACUCUCUGUUCGGAUUAUUCUACUUAACAAAUGUCGAAUCAACGUUCAUGACCAUGAACUUGCGAGGGUGAAAAAUCCAUCCUCAUCCCAUACAUUCCAUCAAAUACAAUCUGAAAAAUUCAGAGGGCAAAAUCAGAAAAAUCAUCAAACCUGGCUUCCGGCAAGCGAUUAUUGGAGGAGGGCAACGAAAGAGGAUUGGAAGGGGCUAACUCUGGUGCAACUGAUUGCGUGAAAUCAUCAGCUUUCCACUGAUCCAUCAUAACUCUCUCACCUCAAUUCUAGGGUUUCUG
rnacentral:lncRNA from 1 species